AAAAAAGAAAAAAAAAAAGACGUACGAAUCAAGCAUUUUAUCUAUUGAUAUCGCAGAGCCUUGCAACAAACGUUGCAGAAAUUGGAUUAAUAAAAAUCAAACUUUAAGAUCUAUGAUCCUAUGCUCCAAUAAUAAUAAUAAUAAGGGUUAUUAUUAUUUUAUUACUUUAAAAAUUAUCAAAUAUCAAAUAACUACAACAAAUAUUAUUUCCUAUUAUUUUCUUACUAUAUCUUUAUAAAAAUAGCAUUUUACUACUUUUCUGUUAUAAUCUUGACAAACAAAAUACUAAUUUCACUCUUCAUGAUUAAAAAAAAAAUACUUAAAGCUUAUUUACAAAAUAAAUUUGUAAUAUAUUUAUUAAAAUGGAUAUAAAACACCAACAUAAUUAUUUUAACUGGAAUUAUGAUAUAUGGAUUAAAAAUUUAUCUUAUUAUUUUUUUAAUCAUGAAGGGUAAAAUUGAUAUUUUAUUAGUCAACUAACGGGUCAACUAACGGUUGUAAUGAAAAAGUAGUAAAAUGAUAUUUUUAUAAAAAUAUAAUAGGAAGAUGAUAGAAGACAACACUUGUUGUAGUCAUUUGAUAUUUGGUAAUUUUUGAAACAGUGAAAUGAUAAUAACUCUAAUAAUAAUAAUAAAGAUAUAUGAUUGACCGACUAAGACCGUAACCCCCUUCAAUAAUGUAUUUACUCUUUUCAUCCAUGCUCGUUAAAUUAGAUUGUUUCAAAUCUAACGGCUCAUCCAAAAAUGAAAAAAAAAUACAAGUUAAAUACAAGGUGUUUUUUUUCCCCCAAAUAGAUUCUCAUUAUUGCAAGACAAAAUUUCAAAAUAAACAAGUUAAAUGUUGUAGAAAAUCUUCACCUGUAUAAGAUAAUAAUAAUACCUAAAUGUGAUUUUUAACCAAAGCAUCAACUGCUCUAUUAUAAUUUUUAGAAACAUGGUCAAUCUUGAAAUCUUACUAAAUUAACAGUAGAUACUUCUUAUAAUUAUUCAAAAUAGCUUAAUACAAAUACAAUGAAUACGAGGUUAUUUGUCCUUGUUACUAGAUAGUGAAGCCUUUGAUGCAUAAUAAAAUGUUAAAAAAUAUGAAUUAACAUAAUAAGAUCAAAGACAAGAACUAUAUAUGCAUUUGUACUAUUAAACAAUUUUAUUUGCUAAAGUUUGUGUACUUGUUAAGACCUUGAAGGAUUUUAUAAAAAUAUUUAAUUGGAAAAUGUAUGUUUCCCUUUCACUUUUUGAGGAAAACAAUUUUUUUUUCUUUUUUAAUUGAAGGAAAGAAAAAUCAAGUCUAAACGCAGUAUUACACUCUUUAGAAACAUACAUUUUCCAAUUAGAAACAUACUCUUUAGAAACAUGGCCAAUCUUGAAAUCUUGCUUCAAUAACAGUAGAUGCUUCUCAUAACUAUCCAGAAUAGCUCAGUACAAAUACUAUGAAUAUAAGGUUAUUUGCCCUUUAUAUUAGAUAGUCGGGCCGUUGCUGCAUAAUAAAGUGUUAAAAUAUAAAUUAACAUAAUAAGAUCAAAGACAAGAAGUAUAUUUGCAUUUGUAACAUUAAACAAUUUUAUGUAGUUAUUUAUUUUUUAACUUCGAUCUUAUACGCAAUUAAUUUGCAAAGUUUGUGUAUUUGUUAAGGGAUUUUAUAAAAAAAUGUCUCGUUGAAAGAUGCAUGCACCCCUUUCAAUUUUUGAGGAAAACAAUUUUUUUUUAAUUGAAGGAAAUUUUUUUUAAUACAAUAAAAGUCCAAACAUAUUAUACUCUCACAACUACAUGAGAAUACUCAAACUCUCCACUUUAAUAUUAAGGAGAAGAGUGAUUGACCAAUAUUACCAAGGGAUCAUUACCAAUAAAAUAAAAAAUUACAGACCCUAAAAUGUAACUUUAAAGAAUAAUAAUAGAGUUAUAAAUUCUUAUAUAAGUAAUUUUUAUACAAAUUGAUAUGGUAUAAUAUCAUUGGUUGAGUAAAUAUAUAAUAUAAUAAAGAUAAAUCAUGUGGACAAUGUGUUGGUUUCAUUCAACCAACUAUGUUACAAAAUUAAUAUAAAAAUUUAUAGAUGUAUCAUUACUCUAUUUUAAGCGAACACAUUAAAAAAUCAAAAGCAACUUUGAGAUCAUAUCACUAAAAUGGUCCGAUUAAUAAAAAUGUAUAUACCACCAAAAAUGACCAUUAAAAAUUAAAGCAACUAUAUUACCUAUAAAAAUGACAAAAUUAUUAUAAAUGACCACCGUGAAUAAUGACUGCGUCAUUAAAAAUAAAAUAAGUUAAGAGAACAUUAGAACACGUGCAGGUCAUUUUAUUAUUGUUGUUUAAAUGUUAUUUAUCGCGAUAAAAUACCAAAAUUGCCCUUAUACCUAUCGCUAGAUUCACAGGUCUGGUUAAAAUUAAACCAUGGUUAGUUCACUCACGUGAUUAACUAACCCUACUGUUACUGCGAUGCUCUAAUAAUGAGCGCCCCCACACCGGCUUGAAAAAAAAAAAUUCAACAAUAAACUAAUAAUAAAAACAUAACCGUGGUUUGAUCAGUCACGUGAUUAACUAACCUUAUUGAAUGUAACUCAAUACUCUCUAAUAAUAAGCGCCACCACACCGGCGUUAAAAACAAAAAAAAUUGCAACAAUAAAAUAAUAGAAAACAUAUCAGAAUAAAUAAUGAUAUAAUUCAACAAAAAUUCAACGUCGUUAAAGAUUCCGUUAGAUUGAUGAAGUCCGUGAGGUGAUAAAAAUUUGCCACGGGCGCAUGCUAACUUGAUGAUAGACGGGUGUCGACGGUUCAAAGGAGGAGUAAUCAGGACCGUUUGAUUGAUGAUUGAUGGUCACGAAUGCUCGGUGUGGAACCGAGAGUAUGAAAGAGGGGUAUAAAACUGGUUUUAAAAGGGAGAGAGAAUUUCGUUUAUCAGAAGAAGGAAGGAGAGCACUUUGUGUUGUUUGUUCUCUCUCUGGUUUCUCUGCGAAUUUUCAUUCACUUUCUUUCGUUUUCUCAGAAGCCAAACAGACUACUUUGGCUGAGAAUUGACGAGAAUAUGAUAACGGAAUGUUGAGAAUCUGAAUCCAAUAGAGAGAUAGAGGAGAUUUAGAGGUGUGUAUUACCAACACACUUUUGUUUUUCAUUAUUAAGAAGAUCAAUUUAAAAAAAUUGGCCGGUAUAAUUGUUGUUUGGUUCAUGCUUUAGUUUACAGACAAAUUCAAAAUGACAAAAGACGACAUGGUUCAGUUGGCUUAGUGUUAAUUCCGUAUAAUUCAUCCUCUGAUAUAAUCAUUUUAUUUGUUUUGCAGAUACAUUUCUUAAGAGAAUAGAGAAAUUUCUGUAAGGGGAAGAUCAUAAUCUCUCAUUAGAGCAGGAGAUUUUCAAGUCUUUGAAAUGCCAAUCAUUUCGCUGAGAAGCUGAUAUACAUUCGAUUUGUAUUCUGCCGACUGAAAGAAGCAAAAAAUCGGCGAAUUUGAGAUAUUGGAGGUAUAAAAAACAAGCAUAUCGAUUUUCAUCUCGUCGAUUUAACUCGGGACCGGUUCUCUUUCAUUUCAGUUUUGAAUCGGUUUCCACUUGCUUCUUAUUACGAAGCUUAUACUUAAGUUCGACUCCGAUUCUCGUUUUUUCAGCUGUUUGGCUCUGGCGAGAAUUCAUCAUUAGCGUCUACAAGAAAUUUCAGUUCCAUGAAAAUCUUGACUUGUUAUUGAUGAAAUAUUUUUUUCGUUUUGAUUUUUGUUCUUUUGACCAUCUCUCAGUCUCGUCUUAUUCGAGCUUUAAAAUUUUUGUCAGUCUCGUCUUAUUUUGAGUUUUAGCUGUGGUUGCUUCUCAGAUUUUUCUCAAAUUACCUACGUUUGGUUACUGAGAAAGAAAGCAGAGAGAAAAAUAACAUCUCAGAACUUCUUUCCAUUCUCGAAUUGAUCUCUAGAACCAACGAAUUGGUUCUGAUUGUUGCAAUUCACGAUCCUUCUUUAUUUUCUUUUUCGAACAUUUUCUCGGCAGCCGAGCAAAAGCAUGGAGCUUGAGAAAUUUUUUCUCCGCUUUCUAUGCGUAUUCUUCGUCAGAUCCUCUGGAGUGAGUACGUCUGUGAUCUAUUUUUGAAUUAAAAUUCUCAUUUUCACUGCUGAUGACUAUUACAGCAUCACUCGGUAGAGAAUUCUGCAUUUUUUCAUUUUGAAAAAUCCUUGGCUGUCGGAUCUUCCUCUUCCAGUCUUCGGUCUUCCUCAGUAUUCAAUAUUUUUGUUGCAUUUUAAUAUAUGUGAUUCUUAUGGUAAGCCUACUUUUCUUCUCAAAAUUUGGGAAAAUUCUUAGCCGUUACUCUAAAAUUUUAAUUUUAAUCAUUCGUUUUAAAUGGCGUGGAAGUUGCCGGAAAGCCGAAGCCGUAUCCAAAUUGUUCAUUUUGUUUUUCUUUUUUAGUAUAAUUCUGCAAGUUAACCGUAAUUUAGGAUGAGUAAUUGUAAUUAACUUAUCUGAAUGGGACAGGUUUGCGAAAGGAGAUGGAUAAGGACUUGUUGAGAAGCGGUAAUAAUGGGAGCACUUGCAAAGAUGGGGGAUUAUUAAGAGCUAGCUCAGAGAUCAACACUAGGCAAACGGCGUCGUCUGAUUUCGUCUUACAGUGGGGGAACAGGAAGCGACUCCGGUGCAUGAAAGUUCAAGUCAAAGACGAUUCGUCCGCUUCGGCCCAUCGGACGACGGUUCGAGUCGUAAGAACCGACAAAGACACGUCCAAUCAGCCGAGUACUGCCACCGCUAACCAUAAUAUUGGUAACGGUUAUUUUAAUCUCCGUCGACGGCCAUCUUCGCCUCCGCCACCGCCACCGCCACCUCAGCGUGUGCUCAGGUAAUAACUCGGUAUCAUCGUUUGUUUGAUUUUAUGUUUGAAUAAAAACAGAGAUUUGUAUGCUUAUUCUUACGGCGCGUAUUAAACACUGUCGGCUGAGAUGGUGGAUCUUGUUUUUAGCUGUGGGGUUGUUCGCACUGAGGGCCUGAGCCUGAACCUUCGCUGGUGUUUGCGAGGCAACUGUAGUGUUGUGUGUAUGACGUUUAGAUAAUUGAAUGGGUUGCGCGUGGGCCCGUGACGCGCUUUGUGUCCGUGUUCGCAGUUUAGUGUUAGCUCCUUUAUUGUUCGAUUUCUAUAAUCCACAUUGGCGCGGAAAAAGAUUUCGAUCUGCUCUCUUUGAUGGGUCCCUUUUUACCCUUUAUCUUUAAUUAAUGGUUUUCUGCCGCAAGAAAUAUGUUUUACCGUGGUGAAUUAUAUUUUCUUCUUCAAUUGAAUUGGUGUUUAUGUUAAAUUAAUGUUGAAGAAAGAUAGUUGCCCUUUUCAGUAAUAGCAUGAAUUUGGAUCACCUUUAGUCAUUAGUCGCUGUUGGUACACGGUCACUGUCGACAUAAUUAGUUUGUGUAAUAUCAGUAAGCCCGGAGUCAUUCUGCAUUUCUGCUGAUAUUAUUAUUAUAUUUUAAAUUCCAAUUGCAGCCUUUAUGCUUGUUUUAUAAAAUUGGAAAUAAUUAGUUCAUAGUCUGGGAUAGUAUGUCCCUUGGUAUUGUACUAUGGUUUGAUACAUUUGUCUAUUUCUGGUAGUGGAGUGGACUGUUCCAGGAAUAGAUAAUAUCAUAUGAAUACUAAGCUGGCGUCUGAAUCUUGAUGCCUAAUAACAUUUCAGCAUCAAAUUAUUUUGCUUUUGCUGAAGUGGAGGUUAGUUGGAUCUACUUGUUCAUUACAAGAUGAACUUUUAAACUUCCAAAAUUGGGGCUGAGUACUUACUUAUGAGGCUUAUACUUGUCCAUUCACUAAUUGGUCAGGUUGGUGCAAAUCAGAACUCAGGAGAGCUGAUGCCUGAUGGUGAGUUCAUAAGGUCAGGGUGUCCUUAUAUUUACUAUUGCUUUAGUUUCUAGGAUUUGAGUCUUGCUAAAGUGGGUUGCCCAUGUCAUUUCACGAUCCUUAGAAUCUAAUAGUCGCGUUUGAAGUGUGUGAUCUAUAGAUAAUGCACUUGAGAUUUGGGGAUAGUUUCACUUAUUUAUAAAUUUGAUUAGUUUCUAGACUUUAGCAUAUAAUUGGUGAAGUUUUAGAUGGUGCAUUCUCCCAAUAUUACAUUUACUGAUUUACAUUCUUAAUUGGGAAAUUGGCUGUAAUCUUUGCUUUGUUAUUUGACUGAUCUGCGGCUGCUAAUUGUAGUUUUAUAUGGGGUUAUAUUUUUAUUGUUCUCGUUAUAAAUUGACAUUCUUUAGAACGUUUUUUUAUUUUUUAAAAUCUCAAAUUGCUUCUUUUGCAGAAGAUAAAAAUAAACUGAUCAACUCACAUUUUUCCUUUAUUUUUUGAAUAAAAAUGAGGGUAAUUUGAGAUUUUGAAAAGUGAUGAUUUGAAGAUAGUUAAGUCUCACAAUUUAUGUUUUAUUCUUUUCUUUUUCUAUAUUGCAAUCUUAUUGGACUGAUUUUGUUCAAAGUUGUGCAAAAGAAGAUUAGGUUGAUUAGCAUUCCUAAUCAAACUACUCUUCUUACUCAAUUGUGCUACUCUUGACCUUUUGCAUUUGCCUAGAGGGUAGCCAACUUGUCUUGAGUUCAUCACGCCUGAUUUUAGCCCAUAACGCUGCCAAAGCGUCCUCACAUGGUGGACUCGUUGGAACUUGGAACUAGGAAACAUGGAAUUAGUAAGUUCCUGCCACGCGUCCAAUGAUGCCCAAGUCUAAUCUCAACAAAAUUUCCGCCGUCGAUUGUAAUUGUAUUAGGAAUCUGGUCCACUCUAUCCUACAUGCCAACCCAUCCAUCAACACGUAGCCCAUACCUUAGAAAAGGAAAAUGAAUCCAACGGCCUACAAACCGCCCAUAGGACCAGCUGUGCUCGUUAGAUCGAGAUUAGAAUCAAAACUAUUUUUCUCAUGGCAGCCAAGUUAGCAAAUAUCAACACUUCCUAUUUGUUUAAAAAGCGCAAUCCAAAGUCUCUCCAAAGAAGCCAAAAGAAAAAAAGAACUCACCGUAUAUGACUUUCUUCUCAAAUUUAGCCCGACUUUACUUGAUCACUCCCAAGGUUAUUUUCGUACUUGCAUAAAAAUUCACUUCAGCACAUCACUUUUUUCACUUUUUCCUUAACACUCUACUUGACUGUAUUAAAUUUCAUUUUUAUUUCACAUGUUAUGUCCAGUUAAUUGAUGUGUUGUUAUGUGUGUAUUGUUUGUUAGGAAUUCUGAGAAUUCAAGUGCCAUGAGAGGCCAAAGCAACGGUGGUGUGAGAGGUUUUGCUUCACCAGAUAGGGGUGCGCACGAUAAGAGAGGUACCCGUCACAACAAUCACAACCACCACAACAAUGAUUAUAACAAAUCAGGGGCAUCAUCGGAAACAGCUCAUGAUAGCAAGAAAGGUGGAUCCUCUUCCGCUAGUGGCGAGGCGGCGCCACCCGUGUGGCCCCCGAAAUUUGUGAUUGCUUUAACCAACAAAGAGAAAGAGGAAGAUUUCAUGGCCAUUAAAGGGUCUAAGCUGCCACAGAGACCCAAAAAGAGAGCAAAGUUUAUUCAACGCACAGUCAAUGUAAGCUUUUCUUAUUCUUUCCUUGUUUAAUCCUUCAUGAUAUCUAGACUUAUCUACGAUGUUGUUUUAGUUAUUUUAGAAUUUAGAUUUAACGAAUUUGAUUCUAGUUGCAAUUUAAUUAUCGUGAAUAAUCAUCUGUAGGAAUAUUUUAUUGGGGUACAACAUUUAGGAGCACAAGGUACAAUAGAUCUCUUGCGGCCUUUUGAUGAUAUUUUGGGAUGGGACACGGUUUUUAAGAAUGUAGCUGUUACUACAAAUAUGGUUGCUGGGUCGGACCCUGAUUUAUGUGAAACUAUGAUCUACUUUAUUAUUAUUUUUUUAUUAGUCUUCAAUUUUUGUUUUCGCUUAAAAAUAGGGCUGUGUGUAAAGUGACCAGUGAGAUAUACAUGUCCACGUGUCGGUAAAGGCGUGGACGUGUACCUAAAAAUGACCUGUAGUAACGUUAGCCUCCCAGUGACCGAGUCCUGGUUUGGGUGCGGGAUGUAGAAUAAAUUAACAAAAAUCUGGGGUGGGAAUAUUACCCUUGCCCGAGUUUUGUGCUUUGAUAAUCAAAUUUCUCUUGAUUUAGUCGGAAAAUUCCAUUAAAGUAAUGGUACAUAUUUUAAAUCUUUUGUUUUUAAAAAUUAUUCUAAAUAAUGUGGCAUUCCGUAAUGCAGUAAUUCAUACUUUACUUCGUGGGGGAGAUAAUUGAAUAACAAGAGACAAUUGAGUUGUCAUUAAGUUUUUUCUGUUUUUGAUUUUUUUUAUGUUUAUGUUCCAAUUUAUCAAAAUCAAAUAUUCUUACGACCAAUAAGAGUUACUUAAGUCAAGAUUUUACCGUAAGAGAUUAUCACGGUAAUACCGCAAUUUUGAAUUUAUUUUACUUUUCUUGGCUACGGGGAGUUCUUUUUUUUUUUUUUUAAAGAAAGCGUUGAAAAUGUUGGAUAUGUGGAAAUGAGUAAUAAUAGAGUUAUAAUUACCUUCUAUAAGUAAGUGUAUAUAAAUCGAAGUGACGUGACGGAAUUAGUUAUAUAAAAUUAUUAUGGGUUUAUAUAAUUAAAAAUUAAUUAUUAUUAUUAUUAUUUUUAGCUAAUUUUUAUCCGUCAUUAAUUUGUAUAAAUUAUAAAAUCAUUCGUGGGUUUAUCAUUUUACAAGAAUAUGAGGGGGUAACAGAAGGAUAAUUUUUAAAAACGUUUGAGCUUGUUGCAAGUAGAUGGCGAGAAUUAGUUUAUUUGUAAAAAAUCUCCUACCGUCAAUUAAUUUUAAUAUUGACCGUUAGUUGACUGUGCAAAGACAAUAUUAUCCUUAACAAUAGUUUGUAGACGGAAAUAACUAAAAAAAAAUUAAAAUUAUUGGUUAUUUUACACUCUUUAAAUUAUUGAUAUUUUUUUAAAGUUUCUACAAAAAAGAUAAAAUUAAAAACUUGAAAAAUUUUCUUUAAAUUAUUGAUAUUUUCUUAAAGUUCCUACAAGAAAGAUAAAAUUAAAAACUUGAAAAUGAAAUAGUCAUAAUCUUUACUUAUGAUAUUAUAAAUCUUUGGAAUUGACAAGGAUAAUAUUGUUAAAAAUAGGGUUUGUGCUUUUCGCGCCAAUAAUUUUAAUUUUUUUUUUAGUUAUGUCAGUCUAAAAACUAUUGUUAAGGGUAAUAUUAUCUUUGUACAGUCAACUAACGGUCAAUGUUAAAAUUAACUGACAGUAGGAGAUUUUUUACAAAUAAAUGAAUUUUUGUCAUCUACUUACAACAAAUUUAAACCUCAAGGAAAGUUUUUAAAAAUUAUCCGGUAACAGAAUGCCUUAAACGUGGUACGUGGGGUCAACAAGGACGUGGUAGUACAGAGCUGGAAACUGUAUUUUUCUCUUGGUUUUAACUUUUAAACAUUAUGAGUGUCUCAGAUUGAGAUGGAGGGAUCAAUCUGCAACACGUGUACGAUGGCGAUUCAAUAGACAACACAAACUUAUCAACGAAGUAAGGUCCAAAUACUCACCAAAGGUAAUAAUAUUCUUCGUAAAAGUUUAACCGACGGAAGCGGAUGGGCCCUUUGCCCAUUAUUGUGGGGCAUUUCCGUAAUAUGGACAUUGCUUUUUGGUGAAUUAACUUUUCUUGUCUCUAAUAGUUUUUAAUGAUUAAUUUUCUCUUUAUUGAAAUAAUAUUUAAGAAUAAUUUAUAAUAAACAAUGGAGGUGGUUUCGUGACUCUUGUAGUGGUCCUCCAGGCUGGACCACACUGACAGUGCGUGGAGAGCAAAGAUUGCACGUAGUUUUUCGUCCAUAACUUUCUUAAACGCACGACUUGUAGACGAUUCUUUUUGCAAGUAGUUUUUUUCUUUUUGAGGUUGCAAGUAUCUUCUUGCUUAUGGUGGAAUUAUUUUUUUUUACAAAUUAAUUGAAAUCAUAACUGUUUUAAAAAAGCACAGGAAUCUCUCUUUAUUGCAUCCCAAUCAAAAUCAAAAUCUGAAAUUAAAGGCCAAAGUUGCAUUGAGUUUAUGUUUUUCUUUGCAGCUGGUAAGUCCCGGUGCAUGGCUAUGUGACCUGACCCUUGAACGUUAUGAAGUUAGAGAGAAGAAAAUCUCCAAGAAGGUACUUUUUGUAUUACAACUCCCCAAUUGGAGAAGCAUUUACAUUAAAAAUUAAUGGAGCAUAAUGUUUGUAUCGGGGAUCUAAUCUGAUGCAGAGACCGAGAGGAUUGAAGGCUAUGGGUAACAUGGACUCAGACUCAGAGUAGAGGAAGAGGAAGAUGAAUAGCUGUUGAUAGCUGUUGUUUUUUGUUUGUUGAGAAUAUGACAAAAUGUUGCUACCCUGUAAAUCGUUACCUUUCGUCCCUCCCUCUGAGAUGAAUGAAAGGAUAAAAUUUUAGCCAUAUCUUCUCUCUUCUCUCUUCUCUCUUUCUCUCUUCUCUCUUCUCUCUCUCGGUUAUUUUAUUAUUAUUAUUAUUAUAGAGGCAUCAGGCAUCAACACCUGUUUUUGUUUUGCUUAUAUUUUUCUUUUGUUUCAGCUUUAUUUAGGUGCUGGUUGACUGAGCUGGUCACGCUUUAGGCCCAGUAGUGGGCUACGUCCAUUUUGCUGGUUAACAAGUUAAAAGCUACUUUACCAACUUGGUAUAACCUGUCUAAAGUGGGAGUGACGAAUGUGCCACUAGCUUUGCUUAUAGACAAAGCAAGGCUAUUUUCGCACAUUACAAGAUGGUUGAGCUGAAGUUCAUGAAUAAGCUCAUUGGCUACUGGACAAAUAUGGAGUACUAAUAUAAAUUAUUUCUGCACAUUUUAUUGUGCAAAUUAAUACGAAGAGACCUACAUCAAUUAUUUUUUAAGUUAAAAAAUAAUCAAUUGCACAAAGCGUGCAACAAUAAUAUAAAGGGUUUCGAUUAUGUUGGAGUUUACUUACAGUGGUGUGUGAACUUCAGUCAUACAAUAAUAUAUAAGAGUUUGAUUAUGUUGGAGUUCACUUACGGUAGAGCGCGAAUCUCAAUCAUACAAGGAAAGUGAUGAAUAAUAAAAAAUGAGUUAUUUUUUUAUUAUUUAUUAUUUUACGUGUAAUUAAAAUUCGUAUUUUACCGUAGGUGAAUUCCAACAUAUCAAUAACCUAAUAUAAAAUGUCAUCUCAAACUGUAUUAAUGGAAUAAUUAGUGCUUGUUAAAGAGUUUAUAUUUCUAGAAUUUUUGAUUUAGUAUAUAAUUAUGUAGGGCAAAGCAAACGGGAAUCAACAAUUACGUGGUAGGGUCCACAAACCAACUAUAAUAUUCGUACAAGCUAAGCAAAUGUUGGGGAACUCCAGGUGGGGGGUUGGGUGGGGGCGAAUGAAAAGGGAGAACAACCUCAGCUCACCGGUCAAAUAAUACGUUGCAAAUCACGCUUAGCCAUUGAUUACAAAAGGAUGGUUGGGCCGAAUGAGUCAAUUUCGCAAAGACUGCCUUGUCCAACAUAAACUUUUCGAAAAUCAUCAUUCUGGCGACUUCUUCCAAGGCAUCGCCAAGUGUAAUGAUAUACCCCUAUAAACCAACAAAUUGAAUCAUUGCACAUUUGAUCCCCCUGUUGUUUUCUGUUUCACGAAGGUGCCACAGACCCGAUGACUUGGACUUGGAAUAAUUAAAAAAAGGCCAAAAAAAAAAAAAAUGUUCCUGUUGGUCAUGUUAAAGGCACAGAUUCCCCUUCUCCUCCAAUUCUCUCAUUCAUUGUCCUUUCGCACAAUUGCACAUGGGAAUGGGAGUGCAGAAGCCAAGGAGUAAGCGUGUCAGCUGUGCCUUGCCACUUGGGACUUUUUUGUUUAGGGAAGAUACGAAUUACUGUUUACAAGUGCAUUACUUUUACUUAUCAUCGAUUCUUGUGGGAAAUGUAUUUCCUCUUCUGUCGUCCGGCGAACGCGAUUCGAGUGAAAUAAAAUUAAAUUGAUUUACAUAAAAAAAUUAAAAGAAAAGCGGAUAGUGAAUGAUAUAUAACAUAACAACAAAAGGAAUAGCUUAAUAUAUACUGAUAAUAAUCAUAAGUCUCCAAAAUAACAAACAUAAAUCAAAUCAUAUCAUCACAUCUCCGUGAGCUACAAAGCAUAACUGAUAACUCUCUCUCAUUAUAAAAUUUAUAUGUAAUAAGACUCACUCCCUAAAAGACUAAAAACCCAGUGGAUCCGCCGCUACUAAGCCCACAUAACGUCUAAACAACGCAAAAAAAGAAAAAAAAAUGAAGAAACCACUCUACACACCCAAUAAGCUAGUGACACGUAAUCAGAUAGAGAACCGGCCUCUUAAACCCUGAGAACUGAGCCGAACACCAGAGCGGAAAGGAGAGCGACACCAGCGGCGGCUAAGGAAGGCGAGAUCGAGCCGGCUCCGGAAGCGGGAGCUGGAGCGGGAGAGAGAUCUUGAGCCGACCCUGCGAGAACCAAGGCGGCCAGGACAACGGCCAUCAUCAGCGUAGCCAUUGAAGCCUUUGAGAAUGCCAUUAUUGAAGCCUUUUUUUCUCAGGGUUUUUGAGAGCGUAACCGAAGGAAGCUGAGAGAGAUUCUUUUUCCUGUGUCUGUAUGUGGGAAGUGUUAGUAUUUAAGACAUGAGAAGAAAAUAGUGAGGUUUAUUUAUAGACUGAAAAGUGUGGACGGGAAGAGAGAAUUUCGGGCAGCGGCCCGGAUUUUUCCAGUCUGUCUAUUGGUUUCUUGACAGCUAUGUUUAUUUGUGGGGCCCAGUUAAUUAUAAUUUCACGCGACCGUUUAGGGUAUCGAACGGCGAAGCGACGUCGUGUCGGUUCACGAGUGUGACUUACGCCGAGGAAAUAAUUGAUUCUUUGGGAUUGGGAAAAAUUUGAGCAAAGUAAAAUUACGGAAACAGCAGCGAAUUAUAAUAUCGCAGUCUGUGAUAAACUUGAUAACUAUCUACUUGAAUUGAUAGGACAUAUAAAAAGAACAUUGUAUUAUUUAAAGGAUUGAAUAAUUUAAUUGAUAAAAAUCUCUUACCGCUAAGUUUGGAGAUCCAUUUGCACUCAAAUUUGGUGGAGGAAAAUUUUGAUUUCAGUUGUGUUAUGUUAUUAACAAAAAUUAUUGUUCAAAAAAUGCCUUUUUGUAGCUGCAAUAAAUGAGAAAAUUUUAAAGUACUUUUUUUUUAUUAUUUAUAUAAAUUGAACGAAAUCUUGGUGUGAUUAUUUUGUAAAUUCUCGAGAACUUUUGGGGUGGGGUGGGGGAUUUUGUGUAUGAAUGUAUGAUGAGUUCAUUGAAGAGGCGAAUGUUUAAUGGUGGGAUUGAUGAUUAGGGAUCAGUGAUGGUGCAGUUGAUUCCGCUACAAAGAUUUUUGUAAGCGCCCACAGACAGCCCACGUGGGAUGCGGUGGCUCGACCAUUAGGAGGAGGACGCGUGGAGACGUGGAAGGGCACGGGCUUUUUUAAUAUUCGAAUUUUGAAUUUGAAUAAUCGGAUGUGGACCUGUGGACAGUAUGAAAUGAUCGUGAAUUUUGUGGGUUUCCAGAACUUUCCGUUUGGCGUGUGCGACUGUGUGUUCAUUGGCAGGCACAUGUAGGAGUGUUACGAAGUUUACGCGUUAAACGUAUGCGGAAAGAAAAUGGUUUAACUUUGGGUAAAUGUUUAAAAAAGGAAAUUUCAAUCAACGCUUCUUCUUCUUCUUCUUUUUUUUUUUUUUAUUCCAUAAAAGAAGAUCUUUAAUUUCUGUAAUUAUAUCAUAAUUGAGUCCAAGAAGAUCUGGCUGCAUUGUUGUAAUUUUAUUUAGUUAACCAUAUAAAUUUGAGUCCCGAAGUUAAAAACUUAAUUUUAAUUUUAACUGCUCUUCCAUCUUCUUUUUGUUUUUGUUUUUGUUUUUAAAUGAUCAUGAAACACCUCUUCUCAUUAAUUAAUGUAGAAAAAAAAAGGUUUCAACCACUCCUACGUAUAUUAGCAUGAUUUCUUUUUUAAAUAUUAUUUGAUUGGUAUCAUUGCAAAGUUAAUUUAGAUUCAGUAGUUUAUUUUGGCUAAAACAUCAUAUAUUUAAGAUGCAUCAUCAGAAAAUUGAUUUAGAGUCACCUAAUUUUGAGCUCAAAUAUUAUAUAUUUGCACUCACAAUCAUAUAAUUGGUUUAGAUUUAAUCUGUUUUAAGCUCAAAUAUGUAGCUAUCACAUAAAUAAUUUAGAAUGUUACAAUAUUCUAAGGGCGUGGUCGGGUUAAUUAUAGUGCAGUUGUAGCCUCUACCAAAAUCCGGGUUCGAUUCUUAGAGAUCAAGAUUAUGUUUAGGCUCGCCCACCUCCUCUUACUUUAAAAAAAAAAAAUUUAGAAGGUUACUAAUAUUUUUUUAAUUAUAAAUAUCAAUAUAUAUUGUAAUGUAAUAUUCUUUUUUUUUUUAAAAAAAAAAGGUCAGGUAGAAUUGAUCUCCCUCAUACCAAAUUUUGUAAAAAAUAAUUUAGGUUAUGCCGAUUCAUAAGAUGAGGGGUUCAUAUAGUUUAGUUCAGUUGAUAAUUUUUUUUUUUUGGUUGAAAAAAGAGAUAUGAGAUUUAAAAUCAGUUUAGGUGAGCAAGGACGGUUUUGGGUUGUCACCGAGCUAAAUUAAAAAGGAUUAAUGAGAUGAGACGAGUGGUUUGUUAAAAAGAAUAGUGCCACAUAUUAUAAAGUUUGUGUCAAAAAAAUUCAUCCUAUAAAAGAAGAGACACUCCUAAUAGGCAUGAAAAAAAAUACAAUAAAUCGUUUUAAAACAUAACUGUGACUAGAACAUCCCCUUGUGAAGAUAUAUUUUUUAUUUUUUUAAAAAAAAUUAUUUAAAUAUCUCUAAUGUUCAUGCAACAAAUACGAUGAAUAGUCACAAGGGCAGUCUAGAAAAAGGCAUUUACAAAUACACGGCGGGCCAACAAAGAAUCAUUCACCUUCUAAUCCUUCGAUGUCUGCUUGCAACUCAACUAAACUAACAGCAUUCCAAAAUCAGCAAGAAAACGAUUUAAGAACUUAUUUUGGAAUGCUAUUAGUUUUUAAGGAUUAAUGAGAUGAGAUGAGUGGUUUAUUAAAAAGAGUAGUACCACCUACUGUAAAGUUUAUGUCAAAAAAAUCCAUCCAAUAAAAGAAGAGACACUCGUAAUAUGCAUUAAAAAAAAACACACAAUAAAUCAUUUUAAAACAUAACGUGAAUCAAACAUCACCUUAUGAAGAUAUAUAUAUUUAAAUAUCUCAAAUGUUCAUGCAACAAAUGCGAUGAAUAGUCACGAGGGCGGUCGAGAAAAUGCGUUGACAAUUACACGACCGGCCAACAAAAAAAUCAUUCACCUUCUAAUCCUUCAGUGUCUGCUUGCAACUCAACUAAACUGAUAGCAAUUAGCAUACCAAAAUAAGCCAAAAAAAAAAAAAAAAAAGAUUUAAGAAUCUUAUUAUUUUACUCGUUAAUAUUGCUAAGCAUAUGGCAGCCCUGGGCGGCUGUGGAGUGCAGCCUGGCGUUGGAUUUGCUCACAGACAGGACCUGUAAGGCUGAAACAACACGGCAGCAACAAAGAAAGUAGUUUUAUUUACGUAAUACAAUUUUUUAUACCUUUAUUUUUUAUCUGCAUGAUUUAGUUCUUACACAGACGUGCUAACGAGAAUCAUCCAGUAGCUGGUGUCACUUGUCAACUACUCCUUAACUUAAAGAGCAUAUUUGGGAUUGUCAAGUAUUCCCAAAUUAGUGAUUAUUUGAGAAUUUGUUAUCACAUAUGGUUGGUUCGAGUUAUUCUCUCAGACAUAUCACACCAAUAAUCAUCAAAUAAGUGAGAAUCAAACAAAAUUUGAAAGCAAAUUCUCAAGUAAUUGGUUAGAUUGUAUGAAAAUUUGACUUGUGAAUAUCAAGUAACCUCAGAAUUAGAAUGACUGUAAUGUAUACAUUGGCAUUUACUAUUUACUAAUCACCAAUCAUAGCUUUCUAUUUGGCUCAAUGGCUGAGUGCAAAUCCAGAUGAGCAUGAAAUUCAAAUCAACUCAAAAACCGUUAGAGAAAACAAAAUAUCUUUGAAGUAGUUAUCACUUCAUUAUUAUCAGUAGGAUGAAAAUGAUCGAAGUUAAAAACGUCCAAAAUUAUUAAAUUCAUUUAUCUAACCUGAAUAAUGGACACAUAUACCACGUUGGCUGUCAUUCCUCUGUACAUACAAGAAUCUCACUGUAUCAUCAAAGAGGCUAAUCCUAUGUAACAGUCCUCUCAAUUCGUAUUAUGCAACACGUCUAUCCGAAAAGCUCCUAAUCAUCUUUCUUCCUCGGCUAUUACCAUUCAUUCAAAAGUCAACUCAAAAGGUAGACAAAUUUAUUUGUUAAAAGCCCAAAACUUUAGAUGAUAUAUUCAUCAGAGGUUGUAAAGCACUCGGUGCAAAUUUUCUUCCAAAGAGAAAGCAAACUGUAGAGGGCUGGUUAUUGUAUUUGCAAUGCUGACCUCCAUAAACUUUCUUGAAAAACUCCUCUGUUAUGUCGGCUCUUCCGAAUGUGGCUGGAUGAGCACCACCUCUCGACCAAUCAACCCAAGUGCUGCUUCUAUUUGCCAAGAGAUUUGGCAUUUGAAUAGAUAGCAUGGUGGGAAAAUAGUGUUCGUCCACAUAACAAGGUGGUCUACAGAAUUCCGCGAAUUUUGGAUAAUAUGUAGUAUCUUCCACAAUGUUGACUGCAAGCCUUCGGUUGAUUUCAAACCAUUGGGAUCCUUUGCGCCACUGGGUAAUGUUCACCACAGGUGCCAUGUUCGCAUUGUAGCGUCCUCUCCCAUAUGGUCCAGGGUCAUCAAAUGAACCCAUGAAACUAUGUUUGGAUUUCUUUAUGUAAUGGUAGAUGAGGGAGAAAUUAUAAAGAGGAAUGCAAGACUCAGAGACAAGAAUGAACCAUUCAUUGGAGAUAUCAAGCAAUGCAUUAGCAAGGAGUCUUCUCUCAGCAUCGCACAUGCUCAUUUUUCCCCAUUCAGAGAUCUGCAAAGGGAAGAUACAGAAGACAUUACAAUCUCCUCUAAAUUUUGGGAAAUAUUGUAUUCAAAGCUAUGUGCUAAAGUAAAUAGAAUAAGCAGAUAAAGCAUAACCAUCAAAGGCUUUCAGAAGAAUGCAAGACAGUUCCACUACCAAACACUUCACCUAGAACAUGUAAUGAUAACAUUUGGUAAAGGUAAUCAUAAAACCUGUUAUUUUCCAGGAUCAAAGGGUAUCAAGUAUCAAUUUUACAUUUGGGACAGGAUUAUGGUAGCUGCUUGUUGUUGAAAUGGCACUGUAGCAGAGCUAACCAAAUCAGAUCUCCAUUUCUUGGAGGAUUUGUAUCCUGUUCCAGUUACUACAAGGGGGCAACUCAAGAACAUACAUGUCUUCCUACUUGUCCAAUACAAAAACGUAGGGAGAAAAAAAAAAUCAAAUAAAACGCACUUCGUCGAGCCAAUAUACAUACAGACAGCUCAACCCUCCCCCUUGGUGUUUUGGGAUCCAAAAUUUUUCACCUCCACACGAUAUAUGGCAGUGGUUACCAGCCUUAGAUAAACUUACACUGUUGCAGUUCCCAACUUUCAAAAUUCAACCCAAAAAAUGACCGACUCUUAUUGUUGAUCAUUCACUCAAACCCAGUUUUGCUGGUGAAAGUUAUAAUGUAUGCCAUCAAAUUAAUUAGAAAAUGUUUGCCAAGUAACAUUCAAGAAUGCCACCAUGUCAUCUAUGGAUUGUCCGCUCCUGCUAGAUUCCUCGCAAUUUCUCAUGGACUCCAAUAAUCCGUAAGGCAAUCAGGGGAAAAAAAAAGGAGCAAAAUUUUAACUUGGCUAAGCAAAAACAGAAUAUAUUUAGUUUAUAAACAGAAUCUGUUAAUCAGCAUAUUCCUAUUCAACAGAGUAUUUCUAGACUUUGAUCGUGAAUCACCAUGCAUAUAAAAGUGAUGAUGCUAAAUGGGAACACUACUUUCUACUUUCAAACACCAAGAGCCUACAGAUGACUGAGAGGUCCUAAGAACUGAAGAUUGUUAAACAAAAUUCGGAAAGCUAUGCAAGCAUGCUAACACUAUAUAGAUCCUCAAAAGAAUAAUUCACAUUAUAGGUAAAAAAUAAAGUACUGCUCAUCAUCACUCAAGAGAAGAAGAUCAUAACUUACAUCGUCAUAUAAUCAAUAGUACAACAAAGAUGAUCAGAUGAAGUUUCCACCAGAAUUUUAAAUGAAUAAAUAAAACCUGCAAUAGAUAGAUAUAAUGUCAGGCAUACCUGACUUGGGAUUUGUCUGUUGUAAAAAACUGAUGAAGAUGGAAACUUGUUCUCGAAUGUUGGCAGAGAAUGAACAUAGAUAGAAUAUAGCCCUUCAUGCCCCUUGAAAAACUUCUCCCAAAGAGGUCCAAGAGGUAAUGGCCCCUUCGUCAAGAACAUAAAUGCAAUCUUUGGAACUCUCUUAAAGGGAUACUCCUUCACUCGAGGCACAAAUGAGGCCCUCCAAAAAAGCUCCUUAUCACUCAUUGUGUGCAUUAAAUUUGAUGGAGGAUUUAUCCAAUAAUCCAAACCAUUCGGUAGUUCAGGGCAUGCCACAAAACUGGACUUAACCGUUGUCACAACACUCUGGACUCCAAACCGACGAACUGAGUAUAUACUAAUCAACGAAAAGGCUAUACACAGAGCCAGAAACAAACCAAAUAACUGAAAUAAUCUCAGUGGCAAGGCCCUAAAUUGAUUUGUCUUGUUAACAACUGCAGGGUCUUUGCCUUCCUCUAGCGGAACAACCCUUGCUUGCAUCUUUAUAACUCUAAAUCAAAUCAAAAUUUCACCUUCUGCGUCAGAUCCAAAUCAACAUCCUAGCAUCAAAAGCACUACUAAGCCUCAAAAUACCAGCUAAUUUAUUCACCAGAGCUAGCAAAAAAAACAGCUUUUUUUAAAUAUUUGAAAUUUGUGGAAUUCAAUAUGUUUCAGCAAAACAACCCCACUUAGCAACAGUAACGAAAUUAGAUCUAGAGCUGACACUACAGUACUCAAAAAGCAAGUAUUAACAGAUAUAGCACAAUCAUCAGCUUUCACAGCACAUGGGUUUCUUGAAUAAGAAGCUCUUAGCAAAAAUCAAAAGUCCAGAUCGGACUACUUGAUAGUCUAUAGAUCAAACGAAACCAUUAACGUGAUUGGUGGGGUGAUGAAAAACAGUACACGAUGGUGAACGUUCAACAUACCAUGUAAAUUUGUUGGGGCUAUAUGAGGAAACAAAGUUUGAAGCUUUAGCUCGAAUUGCGCCACCAAAGAAGAGAAACAGAACGGUCAAAUAAAUGAACAAAGUUAGGCAAAGAAAAUAAGAGGAGAAAAAGAGAAAAGUCCUUGGGACGCCCAAAGAGAGAGAGAAAAGGAGGUCCAAGAAAGUGGGGAAUCAAGGAAAUUUUGAGUGUGUGUGUAUGUAUGUAUAUAUAUAUAUAUAUAUAUAUAUAUAUAUAUAUAUAUAUAUAUAUAUAUAUAUAUAUAUGGGACUUUGAAUUUGAGGAAAUCACAGAAUUGUAAUUAGGUGAAUUGUGAAAUGUGGAGAAUUCAAAGAAUGUUUUUUGAUUUAACACGUACAGUGGAAGUGUCUGCUUCGUCUUUUGUGGGUUAGCCGUCACCAUGUGAGAGGCGGUUUUUGCAAGGUAAUAAUACGGCAAUGUCUUGCUGUCAUUUUGUAACGUUUUGGAAAACAAAUUUACCCUGAUUCAUUUGCCUUGAUAGAUCCUUUUUUUUUUUUAACCUUUUUUUUUAUAACUUGAAAUAGAAUGAAAUUAGUCAAAAUUUAAAUUUGAAUGAUAUGUAAAUUUUUUUAAAAUUUUUAAAAAUAAAUAUUAAAUUAUUUGUUUUUUAAUUUUAAAAAACUGACAGCCUAUACUUUUACAUUUUUACCCUUACUAAAUUUAAAUGUUGAAUAAAUAAUAUAUUUUUAAAAGAACUUAAAUAUGAUAAUAACAUUAUCUUUUUUUUUAAAAAAGGAUAAUAACAUUAUCUAAAUCAUCUUCAAGUAAAUGAUUUAUGAAAUCAUUCACUUGGCAUAGGGUUGUUCUAACUUAACCAAUGUUUUUUAUUCGAAUCUUGAAAAUGCAGUUGCGUUAAAUACUUAUUGGAAGAGCUUUGACGCCCUAGUGGUCUUACCCAGCUCGAAUUUGAAUUAGUCGAGACCUAAUGUAGUUUCGGAUACCAAAUAGUUUAAUACACGAAAAAAAAAAUUUAUAAAAUUAUAAUAUAAAAAGUUCUUUAAAAUUAUCACAAGUUCACAAUGCUAGUGCGUAAUAUAAGAAAAAACUAACAAGAUACUUGGGAAGUAAAAAAAAAGAAAGAAAAAACUGAACAAAAAUUCUACAAGAAAAGACUGUCAAUGGAAUCAAUUAUGGACUAUCAAAGGCCAUAAAGGAGAUUCAAGAAAUCCUUCGCGUGAAUGUUGUGUCUCAUCAUGAAAAGUAUCUUGCCUUGCCAUCUAUGGUAGGGAAAAACAAAAGACAAUUCUUCAAGUCGAUCAAGCUUCGAGUGCUCAACAAAUUAAAAGGAUGGAAGGCCAGGCUCUUCUCAAGCGGUGGGAAGGAAGUAUUGUUAAAGGCUGUCAUUCAAGCCACUCCUGUUUAUGCUAUGGGCGUUUUCAAGUUGCCAAAAUGCUUAUGCGAGGACCUACAGCGUUGCAUCACAAAUUGUUGGUCGGCCAACUAUGAUGACUCUAAAUGCAUUCACUGGCUUUCUUGGAAGAAUCUUUGCAAGCCAAGGAAGGACGGGGGGCAUGAGAUUUAGAUAUUUAGGUCCUGUUUGUGAUUGAAGUAUGCUGUUAAAAAAAAUUAUAGUUAUAUUAUAAAAAUUAAUAAUAUGUAGUAAAUAUAAAUUUUAAAUAAUAAUUUUGACAAAAUUAUUAAAGAUAUAAUAGAUUUUAUAUUAUACAAGUGAAAAAUCAUAUCAAUCUAAUUUUUAACUUAUAGCAGUUAGUAUUUACUGAACACUUUAGUGCUGUAGCUUAACCUCAAUCUCAAACGCGCUCUUAAGUUCCUUUAAUUAAGCGCUCUUGGCCAAGCAAUGUUGGGGAAUACUACAAGCACCUGAGUCUCUUUUGGCCAAAGUUCUUAAAGCUAGGUACUUUUCCAACACAAACUUCCUAAGUAGCAAAAUCAAAAGCGGCUCAUCUUUUGUAUGGAAGAGUACUCUAUGGGGCCGUGAAGCUAUCAACACUGGCUCAAGAUGGAGGGUUGGCGCUGGUAGGAGCAUAUUUAUUUAUAGAGAUAAUUGGAUGCCAAGUCCAUUAUCUUUUAAACCUAUAUCCCUGAAGACAUGCAUUGCCGAGUGAUUCUAAAGUUUCAGACCUGUUAAUAAAUGGUAACGAAUGGAAUGAGCAGCUAAUAAAGUAAUUCUUAAAAGGAGUCCCCUUGCCACGAGUCCCUACUAAUGACAUUUUAGUGUGGCGUUAUGAAAAAAAGGAGGAUUUUACACAGUUAAGAGUGGUUAUCAAGUGUCCCUUAUUCUCACUCAUCCUAAUUCCCCUUCAAGUUCAUUUGGCUCCGCUAAUUGGUGGUAUCCCUCUUGGCUUUUAACCAUUCCAUCUAAAGUCAAGAUCUUUUUCUGAAGAGCUCUACGCAAUAUACUCCCUACAUCAAAUAAUCUUUUUCAACGAAGGGUAGUGGAUUCCCCACAUUGUCAACGAUGUUACAGUGCUGUUGAGGACACCUUUCAUGUGCUAGUUAGCUGUAAGUUUGCGAUGAAGGUGUGGAAGUUGUCAACUAUGGCUGCUCACGUCACGAAUAGCCCUAAUAUGGAUUUUGCAUUUUUUUUGCUAAGAAUUUGGAAUCUUCGCUGUCAAAAGAGGACUACUAAUCUUUUGUGAUGAUUGCAUGGUCUAUUUGGCACUCUAGGAACAUAGCGCUCUAUCAACAUCAGAUGAUGGAUCCACAAAAUAUUCUUUGUGGCUGAAGCUGUUUUGAAUUCGACACUGCUACUCAAGGCUCCCCAAUUCAAGAGCUAUCGGUCUGUCCAACCGAGACGGAUGUUGGUUGGAUUCCACCAGAGACUCAUUGGUACAAAAUGAACGUUGAUGCAAACACUGACAUCUCUAAUGGAAUUACAAGUUUGGGUGCAAUAAAAAGAAAUUCCAAGGGAGAUUUCAUGGCUGCCUCAGCUCGCAAGAAAUCUUUUCUUGGUGACGUUGAGAUUACAGAUGCUGAGGUUGUCCUACAAUGCAUCAAGCUGGCGACAGAUUCGGACUUCUCUCCCUUGAUUGUCGAAUCUGACUCGGCAAAUGUUGUUCUUGUUGCAAAAAUAGUAUAUCGAUAUGCUACUUCGAUGGCACAUUUUGAGUGGGUUCCACGUAGCGAAUGUGGAAAAUCUUGUGAGGUUUGGAUUCUACUCCAUGAAAACUUCGAAAGUGUAUAUUUAUGUACUUAAAAUGGUGCUUGGCUGAAUGACAAAUUGUCUCUCAAAGUGCACUCUUGAAGUUGAAAAUUUGAAAGGAAAUGAGUUUUAUCCCACAAGGGAAAAUAAGUCAAGGGAUUUGUGUUUAUAUAUACACUUACCCAUGCAUGAGUAAGAAUUAUAAGGAUAGAGGUUUUCUCCACACGCGCAUGCGCCGGGGGAGGGGGUGUUGUAAAUUCUAGACUUAUUUGGUUAAAUUUGUGUGCGUCCGUGCGUCCUGCGCACGCGAAUAUCAGUCCAAAAUCACCCAAACUUGCAUGUCAAACAAGUUUUUAGAAAUUGUAAUACGCCCAUUAAUUAGCGAAAUUGACACUCUCUGUUAUUAACGAUCUUUGUUUGGUUGGAAGACCCUCUCGCAGACAUUGUGGUACACAUGUAAACUUUGUAUUUGUCCAGCAAGGAAAUGUUUUAAAAAAAAUAAAAAUUGUCGACUAUCAAAGGAACCGAUUCACUCUUAAACUUACAGUACACAAUAUUACAUGCCAAAUUAUGACUAAUUAUGCCUAAUGCAUUAAUAUCCUUUCACAACGGUGAAAUCUGAAGGCCCAAAAAUAUUGUCACUUGUUCAAGCCAAAAUAUUGAGGCCAGAUAAGCACCCUAAGGUCAAUAAAUAAUUAACGAAAUCAUACUAGCUUUCUAAUAAAAUCUAUCGAAAGUAAUAUAAAUUGAAAAAUGAUGGAGCACUUUUUAACCCUAAAGGCCUAAACUCAAAUUCACACCUUUAAGAAUGAAUUAAAAUCUAAUUAAAAAAAAGAUUUUAUAAAAAAAGAUUAUAUAAGGAUGAGUUUAUUAGUUGUACAUGGGUGACUUUUUUGAUAAAUAUAGAAAAUAAAUAAUUAAAUAGAGAUAUUUUUGACAUUAGAAUUUUAGUCGGUUUAUGCAGAAUUUUUAAUUUAGUAAAACGUAAAAAAAGAGGCUUAUUUUAUUCCAUCAAAAUUAUCUAAAAACCUCAUUAAAUCAUAAAAAUAACCAUCUUUAAUUGACUUAAUUAAUUAAGUUGUCAUUUAAUUAGAAAAAGAUACACCCCUUAGUUUUUAAUUCAAUUCGUAAUUAAACAGGAUACGUCUCUGUCAUUUGUGCACAAUUAAUAACAAUGCUUAUCCAGAAUCCUUUUAAUCGGCCUUUAAAUUGAAUAAGAAGAUGUUUGGAAGAAUUUUUUUAUCUCUAUCAUAAAUUGUGAGCAAGAAGAGAGGGCAUAUAACAACUAAGAGAAAAUAAGUACAAAGCACGAAAACCAGCUCUGCACUUUUUUCUAGUUCUUUCAGAUUCUGCACUCCGUUUAUUCCCCUCCCAUGUCAUGAAGAGAUGGGUCUUUUUCUCUUCUUCUUUUUUUUUUUUUUCCUAAUAUAAUUUCUAAAAGAAUUUAUGAACAAACAGGUAUUUAUAUGCACAAUUAAUCACGAGUCGCACAAACCAGUGAUUCCUGGCCACGAUCGUGCGAUAUUACGACAUUGCUGAUUUUUUUUCUUUUCUUUUCGUUGUGAGUAAUUAACAUAUAGGGCCCACCAACCACUGCAUCCCGAGAUUGCGUGCCAAAAUCAUGUAAAUUGAUUUUGGAAGUUUCGGAGCUAAGUACGCGUAGCAUUAUUACUGGAGAACAUUCAGCCUUCAAUGCUACGAGAAUUCUCGGGUUGUUGCACAUUGAUUUUGGAAGGUUGGUGCGCAGAAUGCCAUAGAAAAAGCUCACGCAACUCAGGUAAUUAUUUUUCCACGUGGCAGCUACAUGGAAAAUGAACGGGCACAGACUCCUAAAGUGCCACUAAAAUACAGUCGUAAUAGAUUAUACAAGCAAACGAAAGUUUUAAGAAAAAUGAAGUAUCAUUUCCGCAGCCCCUGCACAGAUUAGGGGAACUGCAAAGACAUGCUUUGACAAGAACAAAUCUCGAUUUCAAUCAUUCAGAAUAUUGACAUGCUGCACAAGAAAUUGAAUUCAUAUAUUUUCUGACCAAUGGUGAGUUGCAUCCCAUGGAUGCACUCCAUCAGCAGAACUGUCAACACACCAUGAUAUUUGUAUCCAGAAGACAAACUUUCCUAAAAAACACAACAUCAUUUAGCGAGCCAUUAAUCAGUUGACUGCUGUUAUGACAGCACUUUAUGCACGUAAUCAGAAGUAGACAUAUUUCGUCAAGCAACUCCCAUACAUUGCAUACUACAUGUAAUCCAGUCAAAUGUUUCUACCUCAUUCACAAGGAACAGUUAGGGCGUAUGUACCAAGAGAAGAGCUUUACUUCAGUGCUUCACCACUUCAAACUUGAAGCGGAGGUUGGAAAUCAUAACCGGGCACUCUCCUUUCUCAUCGUACUCGGCAUAGUCCCCUCCUGACAAGUCAAUGUCUUCAUACUGAGUCCCAGCAAGCUACACAAACAACUUACAGUUAGUUCGACAAAGCAAAACCAGAACAAAUAGAAUUUCUUUUUUUGGGGUCAUAGAGAAUUUUUCCUCAUAUUAAUCUCAGAUUAACGAGAUUAAUUUGACUCAUCAUCAUCGCACAAAUAAAAGAUGGCUUUAGUAACAACAAAUGUCUAUGAGGAUAGAAGCAAAAUGUGCAACAAGAAAAAGCAUCAACAGUAAUUAGAAGAAGAUAUAUUGAUGAUGAAUCUUCUUAGCUGCGGCAAAACAUUAACCCAAAAAGUACCAAGUGCAUUUACAGCUGUCUGCAUGGGAAUGAGAUAGUUAGGAGCACAGUAGAAAAAGAGGAGAAACAUGUGUAAUGCAUUCGCCUGUUCUUAUCGAAUGAAUGCAAGUUACACUUCAUCCAGCUCAUCUUUAAUACAGUUAGUAAGCAAAUAGAAUCUUCAAACAAGGUUUCCAUUCCAAAGUCUGCCCACCCUUCGCCAUUCAAGUCAAGAGUAAGCCGAUAGGAGACUGAGAGAGCAAAAAUCUAUUGUCAUGCUCUCCACCUAAAUAGAGAGGCAGAAACCAUAAAGGCUAAACUAGAGCAAAUAAUCAAACAAUAUGCUAACACAUUAAAGAAAAAGCUGGAAAGAAUUUGUAAACUAAAGAGCUCAAUGUUGAAAAUAUUCACAACCGUGAAAUGCAUAAAAAAGGAUAAGAUGUAUCUUAAAUGAAGAUGGUCAUGCAUAAUCAUAAAUACGAACACUCAACUUGCGCUCUGAUAACACAAUGCAGUGCUCACAAGUCAUUUCCAUCCACCACUUGAAAUAUGUCUAAUGUUUAGUGUUCAAAAACUAUGGGGAAAGGGCAAGAAUAGAAACUUACAGAUUCAACUUUCCAUCCAACACCAAAGACGAAAUCCACAGGCUCAUAACCCCUGCAGUCGAAUAACAUCAAGGGGCUAAAACCCCCAGAUUGAGCAGCUUCCUGGGUCAGUGGUUUACCCCGGCCUGGGAUCAUAGUAACAGUUCCUUCUCUCCCACAAAAUUUGCACUGUGAAGAAAGAUAUGGAGCCAGAAAAUCACCAACAACCAGAACACAGUCAUUUUAUAAAUAGAGUGAAAAAGUUUCAUCUGUAAUAUGUCACAGCAACACUUGAAAAUACAGACAAUAUGUCACGGUCAUUUAUACUACAAGUCUCUAACAGAUUAAUCUACCCAAGAAACUUGAAAAUAUGCAAGAAAUCCAUAGUACCAGAUCCUCAUUCCCACACCUUCAAAGUAAUUACUCAAGCUCAACCAAAGAAACUUAAUAAUUCUUUUUCCAUUCUAAAUCCAAGGCAUCAAAAAGCAUAUAUAGGUCAUUGAACAGAAAAAAAAUACAAUUUAUACUAGAAGUCCCAAGAAAAACUAUAUCUUGAAAGCUUGUCGCAUGCAAGCAAUUUUUACAAGAUAUCAAAAGAGCUGAAGAAUUACAUUCAAAUCAUAAAAAGAAAAGCUCUGAAGUUCACAAAGAAUCAUGAGGAUACAUUAUAGAGUUAUGUUCUAUCAUGAUUCCAUGAACUCGUUCACAACAACAGUAACAGAAAGGCCUUGGUUUUAAGUCCAAGAAAUUGAUUUGUUACACUAUGCUACUGCUAAACAUCUCCAGUUUGACUACAAACAAUAAUAUACAUCUAAGCUCAAAUGGCACCAAUUUUAACUAGCUUGAUGAAUAUAUAUAUUCAAUUAGGGAUCUCUGGUUGUAUUAAAGUUGGGAAUAAGCUAACAGACAAAAAAAAAACAGACUCCAGUGCAGUGUAUUUUGUUCCGUAUUGUGUUGAAAUUUGUGUUUUCUGUCAUUUAACUUAUCCCUAACGUUAAUAUGAUCAGGGAUCCCUGAUAGAAAACUCUCUCUCUCUCUCUCUCUCUCUCUCUCUAUAUAUAUAUAUAUAUAUAUAUAGAUAUAUGUGUGUGUGUGCGCGCGCAAUAGUGAUGUACUGCAACCUAUUUUAAUCUCCACUGCAAGUGUAUAUUACUUGAAACAAUUUACAUUAGCAAUAUCUGGUACAAGUAUCAUGACUACAGACCAUCUAAUUGCAUCAUUUAUCUAAAGAUAAAUGAUUAAAUGAAAUAUGUAACUUCACUAAACUAAGCCUGAGGUACCAGUAUAACAGCUUUUCCUUCACAGUUUGAUCAUUUGGUUAGAGCAUAUAUCUAUUUAAAGUCCUCGCAAUAAGACAAACAAGAUCACUCACAUUUUAAUACAUACACAAAGAGAGGAAGAGAGAGAGGUAUUACUUUUUGAAUGAGAUUUGUGGUUCCCUUGCCUCCUUGAGUAGGAAGAGUUUCAGCCAAGCUCACACAAGUUUCUUUCUGGCUUAGUUCUCCGCAUCCACACUUCAACUACACCUCACAAAAAAUAAACAGAUAAACAUCUAAUUCAGAGAGCAUUGCAAGAUUAAAAUUCAAUUCCAACAUUAACUAACUAGAAUCAACAAAACAAACAUAUAAUAUAAUUUGAUAAGAGUGAUAUACAAUGUUACUGAAAAUCAACUUAUAUGAACAUCCAUAAGCAUAUAUAAAUCAGAUCUGAAAAUAAUAUGAUGAGUGACAGAGAUUGAACUGAAUAUAAUCAUUAUACAUAAAAACACAAACAUACAUAACAGGAGACAACAAAUUUGAACACUUAGAAAAAGAAUCAAAACAAAAAAUCCAAAGCAAAACAAGGUGAAGAGCAUUACUAGAGAUCAUAGUCACAAUAAUCAUCUGUAUUUGAAAAUCAAGUAAAAUGAGUAACCUAAAACCAGAAACCUAAAAAUAAGUACUCGCAUUCAUUUGGUGUACGAGAGAGAGCAAUGAAAACAGAAAAGAAAAAUCCAUACCGAAAUUCAUCCAUUAUGUGAAGCAAAGCGAGCAGUGCAAGAAGUAAAUACGAAGUAAAGAAGAAUCAAGAGCGGCGAAACGGAGGUAAUACUGAGGGAGAGAAAGAGAGGGGACCUUGAAGAAGUAAGAGAAGUUAGGAUCGUCGCAGCCGCCUUGAGGUUGGAGAUUGGUGAGGUUCUCGAGAUCGGCGCUGAUCAUCAGCAUGCAAUUCACCAUUUUCGCUUAGCUUUCCAGUGCCAAAAUAUUCUCUCUCUAUUUUUUCAGCGUGCUGGAUGGACGGAUGGGUUGAGACUUGAGAGAGACAAGGUAAGUGCUCGCCGCUUCGAUCGAGGGAAUUCUAUUAUACGCGCGUGGCUUGGCGAAUGUUGCCCGCCCACGGAGAUUACAUCGAUACGAUAAUUGUUUUGAACGACAUGUCGUAUUUUUCUUGGAUGGUAAACAGACAAGACGUUUAUACUUGGUGAAAAUGCUACAAUUUUGUAAUCGGGAUUUGUAUGACCAACUAGGGUCGCAUAAAGUCAGUAGAGUUUGGUAUACAUGUACAAAUAAUUUGUUACGUGCUUUGUAUCUAAGCUGGAGAUAGUAUUAUGAUUUUAAAAAAAUUUUCAAACGAAAAAUUUUAACGAAAUCUUUCAAUUUUUUAUUUCAUUGUAUUUAACUCUAUAUAUUUCUCUAUUCGUAGAGUACAUUGAAUGUACAAAAAUAGUUAUAACAUAAUUCUUAUUAUUUGUAUUAACAGUUACUCUAUAAACAAUGUUGUUGUGAAGCUGUUAGUUUAAUUAUGUUACUAGUAUGCUGACGUGGCGAGCUGAGCUGGAGUGUGGGCCUGCUGUUAGUUAGAAGCCGUUAUUAUUAACGGUUGAUUCCAAAAACAGAGGCAUGCAUAUAUAAGGGUUGGUUUGUGGCAUAGUUAGCGUGUGAUUUUAAGGGUGAUAGAGUGAGAGAUAAUAAAUUCUGUAAACUAAAGAUUUAAUCUCUGCACUCCAUAGAUUCUUUGUGUAAUCGUCUCCAUUAAUAAAGCUUAAGCCUUCUGCUGGUUUUUCAGCCGUUGAUGUAGGUACCUUGAUACUGAACCACGUAAACUCUUUCUCUGUGCUUGCUUCUUGGUUCUUGGUUCUUGUUGAAUCUUACUGUUGUUAUUUGUUUCUAAUUCUAGUUCUUGGUUGUUCUGAGUUGAUCCUAUUAUGUUAACUAGUUCAAGGUGGUUGCAUUUGUCGAUUAAGCAUUAACAAACUGGUAUCAGAGCUUGGUUCAUUGAGGCUGUUCUUGAUCAAAAUGACGACCACCAGAUUUGAUCUCGAAAGGUUUAAUGGUGAUAACGACUUCUACGUCUGGAGUCUUAAGAUGAGAGCAAUUCUCAUCCAGUAAGGGCUUGAUAGUGCUCUUGAUGAUGAAGAUGAAGAUCCAAAGGGCAAGAAAGAACAUGCAUAGGGCUCAUCAAUAUUAGGAGGAGAUCAGAAAACCAUUAAUAACAAGGCUCACAGCACCAUUAUCCUACAUCUCUCUAAUGAAGUGCUGAGAGAGGUUGCAAAAGAGAAGACUACAUCAGGAUUAUGGUCAAAGUUGGAAGACUUAUAUUUGAAGAAGUCAGUGGCCAAGAGAUUAUAUAUGAAGAGGAGACUGUACACCUUCUCCAUGAAAGAGGGAGUAGCUAUAAAUGAUCAUUUGGAUGAAUUCAAUAAGCUAAUCUUGGAUCUUGAAAAUGUAAACAUCGAUUUGGAAGAUGAAGAUAGGGCACUAAUUUUGCUAAGCUCCCUGCCUGAUUCAUUUGAGCAUUUUGUUGAUACUCUUUUAUAUGGAAGGCAGACUCUCAUGUUAAAGGAUGUUAAAAGUGCCUUGGAAUCAAAAGAUUUGAAGAAGAAAUCUAAUGGGAAAGAUCAAAGCUAUGGGGAAGGAUUAACAGUCAAGUCAAAGGCAAAUAAAAAAAACAGCAAAGAAAAGAAAAAUACCAACCAGAAAGAUAAAAUAGAGAAAAAGAAAAAUAAGAAGAAAUGUUAUUUUUGUCAAAAAGAAGGGCACUAUAUGAAGGAUUGUUUUGAGAAGAAAAAGCUUGAGAAGCUUCAAAAGGAAUCAAAUAGGAAGGUUGCCCUUGUGUCAGAGGAUGAAGGAGACUCAGAGGGUGCUGAUGUUCUAGUAACAGUAGAAAAGCAUCAAAUUGGUGAGUGGAUACUUGACUUUGGGUGCUCUUUCCAUAUGUGCCCAAAUAAGCAUUUCUUUAAGACAUUUAGAAGUAUUGAGGGUGGUAAAGUGUUGUUGGAAAUGACUUAGCUUGUAAAGUUGCUGGAAUUGGAACCAUUGAUAUAAGGGAAAUUAUCAAUCAUAUACCCUUAAAUGACAUCCAUAUCAAACGUGUGUGAACACUUUUCAAGUGUAUCACUCGUAUACCAUAAGUUGACAAAACACUUAUGUCGUCCACCAAUUUGUUAACUUCCGUUAGAAAGUUAACAGAAUUGUGACAAAUUGACUAUUUUGCCCUUGAAACUCAAAAUGAGGUAAAAAUAUAAAUUUACCCAAAAAAUUAACGUAAAUUUUCAAUACACAAUUUUUUUUUUAAUUUUUUUUAUUAACAAUACAUUUUUUUGAUUAAAAAAAUGAAUUAUUAAUGGUACAUAAUAUUAACAAUUAUCCAUAAAAAUAUCCAUAUUAUACCAUAAAAAAUUAUUAACAAUAUAUUAUUUACAAUUAUAUAUAUUAUACCAUAAAAUUUUUUAGUUGGAGCUUGGAAGAGUAGAUCUUCAAAAAUUUAGGUUAAAUUUUGGAGGAGUAGAUUCGGUUGUAAAGUAAUUUUUUUAGUAAUUAUUAAUAAUUAUCCGAUAAAUGGGAUGACAUGUCGUUUUUUUUAAUCAAAGUUUCAUCAAUUUUAAAAGACUAAAUUACCCUUAUGAUGUCAGCGCUUGCAAACGGAAGUUAACGGAUUGGUGGACGGCAUAAGUGUUUUGCCAACUUAGGGUAUACGAGUGAUACACUUGAAAAGUGUUCACAUACGUUUGAUACGAGUGUCAUUUAAAGGUAUAUGGUUGAUAAUUUCCAUUGAUAUAAAAAUAUUUGAUGGUGAAAUUAGAAACUUAGAUCAAGUAAGAUAUGUACCAAAACUUAAAAGAAACCUUAUAUCACUAGGCAUGUUUGAUCAAAUUGGCUGUAGUAUUAGAGCUGAAAAUGGUGAGAUUCAUGUGAUGAAAAAUGGUACUACCAUCAUGAAAUGAGUUAGAAAGAAUGGCUUUUAUGCUCUAGUAGGGUCUUGUCUCUUACCUGGAAUUACAACCACUAUGAGUAAUGAUAAAACCAAGCUGUGGCACAUAAGGCUAGCACACAUAAGUGAGAGAGGGUUAAAAGAAUUAGAGAAACAAGGUUUGUUUGGUGAAGACCACAUAUCCUCAUUAGAAUUAUGUGAAAAAUGUGUUUUUGGUAAAGCUACAAUGCAAAAAUUCAAUACAGGAAGAAAAGAAAUAAAACAGACCUUGGACUACAUUCAUUCAUACCUAUAGGGACCAUCACAUGUUCCCUCUCAUGGUGGAGCUAGGUACUUCAUAACCUUCAUUAAUGACUACUUAAGGAAUGUUUGGAUUUAUAUGUCAAAAUAGAAGAGUGAGGCUCUGAAGAAGUUCAAAGAAUGGUUAACACUUGUAGAAAAUCAGACUGGUAAGAAGAUAAAAAGGCUAAGAACAGACAAUGGACUGGAGUACUGCAGCAAUGAAUUUGAUGAAUUUUGUAAGAGCAAGGGCAUAGCAAGGCACAGAACAGUAAGGCACACCCCACAGCAGAAUGACCUUGCCGAAAGGAUGAAUAAAACCUUACUUGAGAAAGUAAGGUGUAUGAUGUUCAAUACAAACCUAUCUAAGCAUUUCUAGGCUGAGGCAGUUACAACAGCAGCUUAUCUAGUGAAUAAAAACCCUUCAUCAGCCUUAAACUUCAGAACUCCACAAGAAGCUUGGUCAGGAAAACCACUAGAUCUUACUAACCUCAAAAUCUUUGGCUGCAAUGCAUAUGCUCAUGUUAGUUAGGGCAAAUUAGAGCCAAGAGCAUUGAAAUGAUACUUUAUAGGAUAUCCAAAAGGCACCAAAGGGCAUAAGAUCUGGUGCAUACAUGACAAGCCCUCAAGAACUCUAAUCAAUAGGGAUGUGGUGUUUGAUGAAGACUCAAUGCUGCUGUCUAAAGUAGAAAAUGAGGUAAUGUCUACUGGUUCAUAUAGAAAACAAGAUGCUGAGUUGAAGGUGGAGCAUGUUGAUUGCUAUCAACCUGCAGAAAUGACUCUAGAGAAAUCUGACAAGGAGCUCAAAUCCUAUGAGCUUAACAAUUAUCAGCUUGCAAGGGAUAAAGAGAGGAGAACAAUAAAAAUGCCUAAGAAAUAUGGCAUUGCUGACCUUAUCUCAUAUGCACGGAGUGUUACUGAAGAACUAAGUGGUGAAGAACCUAUGAGCUAUAAGGAAGCCAUGUGUAGAAGAGAUAAAGCUAAAUGGCUUGCUGCAAUGAAAGAAGAAUUAGCCUCUCUUAAGAAAAACAACACCUGGAUCUUGGUAGAAAAACCCUUCAAUAAAAGACUAGUAGGCUAUAAAUGGAUUUAUAAGCUCAAGGAUGGAGAGUCUGCUGAUAAACAACCCAGGUACAAGGCAAGACUGGUAGCUAAAGGCUUCACACAGAAAGAAGGAGUAGAUUUUAAUGAAGUGUUCUCACCAGUGGUAAAAAACAGCUCCAUAAGGUUGUUGCUUGCUGUUACUACUUUUCUUGACCUGGAGUUAGACCAAAUGGAUGUAAGAACUGCCUUUUUACAUGGUAACCUUGAUGAAGAAAUCUUUGUGACACAACCUGAGGGUUUCAUAGAAGAAGGGACUGAAGAUAUGAUGUGUUUACUUAAGAAAAGUUUAUAUGGCUUAAAGCAGUCUCUAAGGCAGUGGUAUUUGAGAUUUGAUUAGUUUAUGAGCAGCCGUGGUUACAGCAGAAGUCAGUAUGACACUUGUGUGUACUACAGAAGCUUGACUCAUGACAGCUACAUCUACUUACUUCUCUAUGUGGAUGACAUGCUCAUUGGAUGCAACCAGAGGGAAGCCAUAGAGGAACUCAAAAUGCAGCUCAGCACUGAGUUUGAAAUGAAAGAUUUAGGUGCUGCAACGAAAAUUCUGGGUAUGCAGAUUGUAAGAGACAGACCAGCAAGAACUUUGUUCUUUACUCAGGCUGGUUAUGUAAGGAGAGUGCUCAAUAGGUUCAUCGUGGACAGUGCUAAACCUGUGUUGACACAUCUGUCAACUCAUUUUAAGCUCUCUAAGCUCUAUGAGCCAACAACUGAUGUAGACAUAGAAUAUAUAAAGAAUAUUCUCUAUUCAAAUGCAGUGGGGAGUGUUAUGUAUGCUAUAGUCUGUUCCAGGCAGGGGUGUCAAAAACCCCGCCCGGACCGGAUCUGACCUGAACCCGGCCAAUCCGGUCUGGGAAAAAUCCGGACCGCAUAUACUGAAAAAGUGGAUCCGGGUUUCAGAAUUUAAAACCCGGACAUUUCCGGACAUGGUCCGGGUUCAGCACUAAAAACCCAAAACCCGAACCCGGACCCGUUUUCCGAAUAAACUUAAAAAAAAAAACUAAAACUAGUUACCCAAACCCAAAUCGCAAAACACCUAAAUCCGAAAUCCCUAAUUCCCCAAAUCGCAAAACACCCAAACCCAAAGGCAUAAGCAGCGAUGCUACCACCGUCACCGUUGGCUAGCACCCACCGUCAGUCCGUCACCGUCGCCCCUCGGCAGUCGGCAGUCGGUAGUCGGCAUCAUCUCUUCUCGUUUGGCAUUUACUGACUCGGUUUUGCUCGAUUUUGCUCGGUUGUGGCUGUGACGGGAGUUGUUCGUGCAGCGGCAGCAGCGCAGUGCAGCCCCCUCCGGCGCCGUCAGCGUCAGCGUCUGCGCCACCGUCUCCAACUCUCCAUUGCCACUUUGUCAUCCACCAUCAGUCCAUCACUCUGCCAUCACAGCCACCACUACCAGCCGCAGGUAUUGAUUUUUUUCCUUCCAUAUUUUGUCUUCCUAGUUGCAUUUUUGCCAAUUGCUUCUCCAUUGGUGUUGGUUGUUGCUAUUCGUGUUUAUCUUCGGCCAAUUUUGUGCAUUUUGACCGUAGAAUAUGAGGAAAAUAUGGCCAAUUUUGUGAGGGAUCCUUAUUGCCUGCUCGUAUAAUGACAAUGUUGAUAAGCAGAGAAAAUAAUAAUCACGGGAAAAGCAAUUUUGUGCAUGGUUGCUGACUUAUAGUGUGAGCCUGUGAUUACUGUAACUGUUGCUCUUUUUUUUCGGCCAAAUCCUUUUGCCUAUUUUAAUUUUAUGUUGCUGAUUUACUGUGAGCCUAUUAGUUAUGUAAUCUGUGAGCCUGUUAGUUAUGUAAUGAUAAGUUUAUUCGUGUUUAUCUUCGACCAAUUUUGUGCAUGGUUGCCGACUUGCUGUGAGCCUGUGAUUACUGUAACUGUUGCUCUUUAAAUCAAUUCUUCGAGUGCUCCAGAUUUAUCUCGUAAUGUUGAAGAUAAAAUUGAUAAUGAGGUUGAGGAAAUUUCAGUGUCAACCGUGAAUGAUAAGAAAAGUAAGGAAGAAACUAGAAAAAAGAAGAAAGUCUCCGAAGCUUGGGAGCACUUUACAAAAAUAAUGGUAAAUGGAGAACAAAAGGCAAAGUGCAUGCAUUGUAGUGCAAUUUUAAAAGCAAAAUACCAAUCUGGGACUUCAACUUUGAAUAGGCACGUGGCAAUGUGUUUUAAGUAGAAUCAACCAGACAUAGAAGAAGCACUUCAAGGAAGCCUUAAAGUGAUUAAAAGAGAGGAUGGAACUUGUGGCAUUAGUUAUGGCAGUUUUGAUCAAAAUGUUUUACGGAGUUUGAUAGCAAGAAUGGUUAUAAUGCAUGAGCUUCCACUUACAUUCGUAGAAUAUAUAGGCUUCCGAGAAAUGAUGACACACAUAUAGGCUUCCGAGAAAUGAUGGCACAUGCUAACCCCGUGGUUAAGCCAAUGAGCAGAAACACUUUGAAGAGCGAAAUCUUGAAGUUAUAUCAAAUCGAGAAGGUUAAGACUUUGCAUUUAUUGGGGAAAAAUCAUGGUAGAGUAGCCAUUACUACAAAUUUAUGGACAGCUAGUAAUCAGAAAAAUGGAUAUAUGGUCGUGACGGCCCAUUUCAUAAUGACAAUGUUGAUAAGCAGAGAAAAUAAUAAUCACGGGAAAAGCAAUUUUGUGCAUGGUUGCUGACUUAUAGUGUGAGCCUGUGAUUACUGUAACUGUUGCUCUUUUUUUUCGGCCAAAUCCUUUUGCCUAUUUUAAUUUUAUGUUGCUGAUUUACUGUGAGCCUAUUAGUUAUGUAAUCUGUGAGCCUGUUAGUUAUGUAAUGAUAAGUUUAUUCGUGUUUAUCUUCGACCAAUUUUGUGCAUGGUUGCCGACUUGCUGUGAGCCUGUGAUUACUGUAACUGUUGCUCUUUUUUUUUGGCCAAAUCUUUUUGUCUUUUUUAAUUUUAUGUUGCUGACUUGCUGUGAGCCUGUUAGUUUUAUGUCUCUGUCUCUCUUUUCUGUUCACUUUUUCGUUUCCACACUAAAAUCUGAAAUUUAGUAUAUCUUUGCUAUUGUAACAGCAGAGUAGUGCAAUGUCGGACAAUGUGAAAAUCAAUUCUUCGAGUGCUCCAGAUUUAUCUCGUAAUGUCGAAGAUAAAACUGAUAAUGAGGUUGAGGAAAUUUCAGUGUCAACCGUGAAUGAUAAGAAAAGUAAGGAAGAAACUAGAAAAAAGAAGAAAGUCUCCGAAGUUUUGGAGCACUUUGCAAAAAUAAUGGUAAAUGGAGAACAAAAGGCAAAGUGCAUGCAUUGUAGUGCAAUUUUAAAAGCAAAAUACCAAUAUGGGACUUCAACUUUGAAUAGACACGUGGCAAUGUGUUUUGCAGAAUUAACCAAACAUAGAAGAAGCACUUCAGGGAAGCCUUAAAGUGAUUAAAAGAGAGGAUGAAACUUGUGGCAUUAGUUAUGACAGUUUUGAUCAAAAUGUUUUACGGAGUUUGAUAGCAAGAAUGGUUAUAAUGCAUGAGCUUCCACUUACAUUCGUAGAAUAUAUAGGCUUCCGAGAAAUGAUGACACACGCUAACCCUGUGGUUAAGCCAAUGAGCAGAAACACUUUGAAGAGCGAAAUCUUGAAGUUAUAUCAAAUCGAGAAGGUUAAGACUUUGCAUUUAUUGGGGAAAAAUCAUGGUAGAGUAGCCAUUACUACAAAUUUAUGGACAGCUAGUAAUCAGAAAAAUGGAUAUAUGGUCGUGACGGCCCAUUUCAUUGACAAUUCCUGGAAAUUGCAUAGUCGAAUCUUAAGGUAAUUUGUCUAUAAUUUUUUAUUUGCUUAAUUUUUCUUUUUAGUUUAUUAUUACUUAUAUUAGAUUUUUUUUUCAAGUUUAAAUUGUAAUAUAUUUUAAGUUUGUGUAUUUAAUACCGACUUUUGAAUAUUUGAUAGGUUCGUCUAUGUUCCAAGCCCCCAUACUGCUGAUGCCCUUUGUAAUGAGUUAGUACAAUGCCUAUUGGAUUGGAACGUGGAUAGAAAGUUAUCCUCAGUGACAUUGGAUAAUUGUACCACUAAUGACGCAAUGGUGGAGAAAUUAUUGUUAAUGUUUGAUACCGAUACCUUAAUUUCUAGUGGUAAAUUUUUUCAUAUGAGAUGUACUGCUCAUAUAUUGAACUUGGUUGUGCGGGAUGGGUUGAAAGUUAUAGAAAGUGAGAGUGGAAAGAUUAGAGAGAGUGUGAGUUAUUGGACACAAACACAAAAGAUAUGAAACUUUUGAGUUAGCUGCUAGACAAUUACAAAUUAAUUGUAAAAAAAAAUUGAAAUUGGAUUGUCCUACUCGUUGAAACUCUACUUAUGCCAUGCUUGAAGUAGCAUUGAUGUAUAAAAGUAUUUUUUCUCGGUUGCAACAACGUGAGCCUCAGUAUAAGAGCUUGCCAAGUGAUGAGGAGUGAGAUUUGACAGUCAUAAUGGUGGAGCAUUUGAAAUCAUUUUGCAUAUUAAUGGAGAUGUUUUCGGGUAAAAAAUAACCAACUGCUAAUUUGUUUUUUCCGUUGAUAUGUAAAAUGAAAUUGUCAAUUAAUAGGUGGCGCACUGCUGAUAACCUUGCUAUUAGGAUUAUGGCUGAUAAAAUGGCUGAUAAAUUUGACAAAUAUUGGAAUGAAAUUCAUCCGAUGUUAGUUGUGGCUGUUGUGCUUGACCCAAGAUAUAAGAUGAUGUUAAUUCAUUUUUAUUUUCCAAAGAUAUAUGGUGAUACAGCAGAUGAGCUUAUUGAGUGUGCACAUAAGCUUUGUUAUGAUUUAGUGAAAGAAUAUGAAUCGAAGGCAGUGCAUGUGAGUGAUGGGCAGAAUGUUGGAUUGGAAAUUUCUCAUUCUGAAUCUUGUUCGAAUUCGAAUAAGUAUUGGGAUGUAGAUGAGUUUGAAACAUUUUGAAGCCAAAAUAAACGUGCUAAGGUAACUAAGUCGGAGUUGGAUAGGUAUUUAGAUGAGGAAUUGUUGGAUUCUAUUCCGGACUUUGAUAUUUUAGCUUUUUGGAAGAUGCACACAAGCCAAUAUCCUAUUUUGGCUGAGUUAGCUAAGGAUAUCUUAGCCAUUCCUGUAUCCAUCGUUGCCUCUGAGUAAGCUUUUAGUGCUAGGGGCAGAUUUUUUAGUCUGCAUUGUAGUAAACUUCUUCCUGACACUUUGGAAGCCUUAAUGUGUGCUCAAAAUUGGAUUUGGGCUUCUACUUUUGGAGGUAUAAAGUUAUUUGAAUUAUAUUUUAGUAGUAUUUAUUUGCUUAAAAUGCUUUGAAUUUUAAUGUGUUAUUUUUGUUGUAAGGUGGAGUUUUGGAGGAUGAGAUUUUUACUGGGGAGGAGGUAAUUUCGGAUGAUGAUGAUGAGCCACAAGCGUCGAUGAGUAGCAUGACAUGAACUUUUAUUUAUUUAUUUGGAAUUAGACAUGAACUUGUUAUUUAUUUAUUUUACAUGGGGGUGUUUUGACUCUUUUAUGAACUAUUGUUUGAGUUGUUGAACAUUUUAGGAUUUUCAUGUGUUGUAUUGAUAAUUGGUGUCAUAAUUAUGAACUUAUGAUAUGUUGGAUGUUAUUUAGAUUUAUUGUGUUAUUGAAUUUAAUUUUUUUUAUAUAUAUAGAUUGAAUGAGUUUAGGUUAGAAGUUAGAUGAAUUUUUAUUUAUUAUUUGUGCAAAAAUUGUAUUGUUAGUAUGUUAUAAGUUUGUAUUUAACUAUUUCUCUAAUUUCUCUUUGACUUAAGUUUGAGAUUUAUCUUGUAUUAUGAUACACAAGAAAUGUGCAUGCAUGUUGUAUUGUUGUUUCACUUGUUUGGUGAUAUUUAGGUGUCAUACAAAGACAUAAAAAUGAAAGAAAUUUUUUUUGAAAUAAUUGUUUGCGGGCUUAGAAGCCCGGAAGACAAAACCCGGACCCGGGACACGUCGGGCUCAAGCCCGGACCGGACAUGCAAAAGCCGGGUUUUGUCCGGGUCCGGGUUUCAAUUUUUGGCGUCCGGUUCGGUCCCGGGUUGCACCAAACCCGGACCGGACCUGGGGUUUUGCCAAGCCUAGUUCCAGGCCUGAUAUAGCAUAUGGUGUUGGAGUUGUCAGCAGGUUCAUGGGAAAUCCAGGCAAAGAGCACUGGAAUGGAGUCAAGUGGAUAUUGAGAUAUCUUAAGGGGACUUCUGAUCAUGGAAUUUUGUUUGGGAAAGUCAAUGGAGCCACCUGUGAGGUUGCUGGUUUUGUAGACUUAGACUUUGCAGGUGAUCUAGAUAAAAGAAUAUCCAUAACUGGUUUUGUUUUUACCAUGUGUGGAGGUGCUAUUAGCUGGAAAGCUUCACUGCAGUCAGUUAUUGCUCUCUCAACAACUGAAGCAGAAUACAUUGCUCUAACUGAGGCAGUAAAGAAGGCAAUCUGGCUGAAGGGUUUAGUUUCUGAGUUGGGUUUCAAGCAAGAGACAGUCACAAUUAGCUGUGAUAGCUCUAGUGCUAUACAGUUAAGUAAGAAUCCCAAGUAUCAUGAGAGAACUAAGCAUAUAGACGUGAUGUUACACUUUAUAAGGGAGGAAAUCAGUAGUGGUGUGGUGAGUGUUGUCAAAAUACCUUCUAAGGUUAAUCCAGCUGACAUGCUUACUAAGCCACUACCAACAAUUAAGUUCACGAGUUCUUUGAACUCGAUUGGACUUGGUAACAUGUGAACUAAGUCUCAAAUGCUGAAACAGAGGUGGAGGAAAGCUUGAAGUCAGAAUAAACUAAGGUGGAGAUUUGUGAAGCUGUUAGUUUAAUUCUGUUACUAGUAUGCUGACGUGGCGAGCUGAGCUGGAGUGUGGGCCUGCUGUUAGUUAGAAGUCGUUAUUAUUAACGGCUGAUUCCAAAAACAGAGGCAUGCAUAUAUAAGGGCUGGUUUGUGGCAAAGUUAGCGUGUGAUUUUAAGGGUGAUAGAGUGAGAGAUAGUAAAUUCUGUAAACUAGAGAUUUAAUCUCUGCACUCCAUAGAUUCUUUGUGUAAUCGUAUCCAUUAAUAAAGCUUAAGCCUUCUGCUGGUUUUUCAGCCGUGGUUGUAGGUACCUUGGUACUAAACCACGUAAACUCUUUCUCUGUGCUCUUCUUCUCUUUGCUUGCUUCUUGGUUCUUGUUGAAUCUUGCUGUUGUUAUUUGUUUCUAAUUCUAGUUCUUGGUUGUUCUGAGUUGAUCCUAUUACGUUAACUGGUUCAAUGUGGUUGCAUUUGUCGAUUAAGCAUUAACAGUUGUUUUGCGGUGCUAAUGACUUAACACUAUUUUUAUAGUUUCAGAAUGUUUCUUUUAAGGCAUAUUGGUUGUUAUUCGCUCUAUAGUCUAUAGAGACAUGUUUUAUAUUUGAUAGGUGAACGACAUCUACCCCGGAGGCGAAUUUGAAGACCGUGCAAGUACGUCUUCUUCGCAAGUCUAGCUAAUUAUUUCGCAUGCAGUUUUCAGUGUUAUGGGCUGUUCUUCGAAAACCCAAAACCAUGCCUAGCAGAUUGCUUGAUGAAACGGUGCCGUUUAACACUUUCAAUAAUUUAAACAUGGAUGUUGAGCCACACACACACACGUAUAUGAAAUGUCUGUUUAUUCUCUUUCUCCUAGCUAGCCGAUGACAAUGAACUCACAAAACAAAUUAAACUUGCAUGCGCACAGUAUGCAAAUUAAGAAGGCGCCAUCUGCAGAAGCCACUUGAAAUGGCACAUGCUGCAUCUCAAAUAUUGAAGAUGCGUCAUGCAUGUAAACUUAAAGCGAAUGAGAGUAGAAAGGUGAAUCAUGCAAAUUUGGUGUCUUCAAAAUUGCGCUCCAACUAAUAUUAACAGCAAAGAAUUUUCCAUGUCACUUCUGUUUGAUUACCAAAAGUAUAUAUGUGCUGCCUUUUAAGGAGUUCUUGUAUAUUCAAUAAUCAUUGUUGUGUAAAAAGAAAAUUAUUCUAACUUCUACUUAAUUGCAUUUAUAUGUUGUGAAUUUAAAAUAAUUGGUGAAAAGGUUCUGUGAUCCCAUGGAGUAUAUACUGGGAUGCAAAGGGUUCAUAAUUCUACUAGGAGUAACUUUUGUAAUAAGUUAUGAGUUUGCAAAGGGUGAGAUAAUCUCCGGACAAAAGAGUUCCUAUAUUGGAAGGAAAGUAAAUCAUCUCAACAGCAACGGCAAUGUAGUGAAAAGCAUUCAGGUAUGUAUAUAUAAAUAUAACUUCUUUGACCUAUAUUUUUAAGUUAUGUAUCAUUGAAACUUCUUGGUCCUUAUAGAGUGAAGAUGGAGAUAUUAUCGAUUGCGUCUGCAUUUACAAGCAGCCAGCAUUUGAUCAUCCUGCUUUAAAGGAUCAUAUUAUCCAGGUACAAGUACAACACUUCUAGUAUUUUCUUUUAAAUAAAAAAAUUCAAUAAUGUUACCACUAUGUAUUUGAUUCAGAUGACACCCACUUAUGAUCCAAAUGGGAAGACAGUGACAACAGGAUCAGCUGAUACAGAAACAUCCACGACUGUUAUGGCAUCACAAAUAUGGAGAAAAAAUGGAAGCUGUCCUGAAGGAACAAUACCAGUGAGAAGAAUUCACAACUCGAAUUCCUUUGAAGGUUAUGGCAGGAAGCAGCCAAGCUUCUAUCAUCGUGUUAAGCAGCUUAAUGAUAUUAAGCAACCAAACCUUCAGCAACCAAAUCAUUCAGUAAGAUUCAAUCAUACAUGAUGGAGUGAUAAAACUAUACUUAAUUUUUGCAAAUAUGUCUUUAUCUGACUUGGCUUUGUGUAAAAAUAUUAGAAAGCAAUACUGCUUACAGUAGGGUACAUGUUUUCUGGAGCAAAAGGAGACAUCAAAGUCUGGAACCCUUUUGUUGAAUCAGAUGAUGAGUAUAGUACUUCUCGUGUUAGUCUGCAAAGUGGCCCUUACUAUGACUUUGAGAGCAUCGAGUCUGGAUGGGCGGUUAGUACUAAUUUAAUUAUGAAGCCACUCAAUUGUCUUCAAGUUCAUUAUCAUUCAUUAAAGAAUCUCUUAAUCCCCACAAUUCUUUCUUUCUUUUAUUUUAUUUUAUUUUAUUAAUUUAUUAAUUUUUGCCUAAAUUUUCAGGUAAAUCCAAGAGUGUAUGGGGACAGAAAAACUCGAUUAUUUGUAUAUUGGACUGUAGGUUUAUGCCAACCAUGACUUAAAAAUGUUGUAAUGCAUAUUGCUGUAUCAAUAAACAAUGUUUUGUUCAUGUAUUAGGCCGACGCAUCAAAGACAACAGGGUGCUUUGAUGUCACUUGCCCCGGUUUUGUUCAAGUCAGCAACGAGAUUGCGCUUGGUGCAGCAAUUUAUCCCAUUUCAAAUCCUAAUGGGCUUCCAUAUCAGAUCACUAUAUACCUCUUUAAGGUCGGAGAAAAUGCAGCUUUAUUUUGAUUUAAUUAAUAGUUUGCAGGGGAAGCAAUAAUGGAUUUUCACAUUUUUCUGAUGGAAGGUUCUUUUACUUGCAACUUCCUAUUGGUUCAUCUCUUAUCUUUUCUGAUUUCAGGAUCCGGACACAGGCAACUGGUGGAUGCAAUAUGGAGAAAAAAUCAAUGUAGGUUACUGGCCCCCUAAGUUGUUUAGUUUGUUACCCAGUGGUGCAGAAAGUGCCGAAUGGGGAGGCGAGGUCUAUAGCUCGAAGUUGGAGAAUCCUCCUCACACAGCAACAGCAAUGGGAAAUGGGCAUUUUCCUGAUUAUAUUUCCGGUAAUUCAGGCAGUGUCAAGAGAAUUAGAAUUCUUGACAAUUCUCGUACAUUGAAGUUUCCCGAAUGGGUGUAUAGUUACACAGACCAGUACAACUGUUAUGGUGUCGAUUAUGUUGGAGACUACAUUGUAGAUCCUGAGUUCUACUUUGGAGGACCUGGAAGAAAUCACUUGUGCCCUUAAACUCUUGUAACAGAUUCUAGCUACAAACGGAUGCUUGCUGAUUUGCCACCACUUUCUUGGGUGGCAAGCUAAUAUUUUAGAUGCUUCUUAAUUUUGAUUAUUUGCUACUUCUUGCAAAACACGACCGGUCAUAUUUGAAGAUUUGAUAAUUCAGCUACUCAGUGGUCCGCAAGAAUAAAUUCUGCGAAUAAUCUCUUUUGGAUGCUGCACCAUAAAACACAAUUAGCCAGUAAACAUCAGAAUAAGUGGAGCAAAGUAUAAAUGGAAAUACAAAUGUCAGCUUAAUGUGGAGUUUUGACGCUUCCUUUGUUGUUUUUGCCUAUUUCUUGCAGUUUUAUCCAGAGCUUUCCUUUUUCCCUUUUUUUUUUUUUUUCCUUCUACCAAAUAUAACUUUCUGAAUCUGUAUAUUGGUCAGAAUUAGGGAACUUACAACUGAAAUAAUAACACCGCAAAUUAGACACCAUAUGUGGACUCUCCUAGUAAGACAACUUAUUUCCAUUUUGAGAAAAACUUCUGCUGGUGUCUUUGGUUUAGAAUAUUGCUUAUAAAUCAUUUGGCUGAUAAGCAAGGAGUCUAAAUUGAAAUGGAAACAAUAUCAUAGCUUUCCAAAUCAACCUGAAGCAUGGUUAAUACACCCCAAUGCAUUAUGAUAUUAUAUAAUUGUUAUGUUGAAGAUGAAACUGUCAUUGGCUUCAUACUUGCUUCUGAAACAAAAAUGGAGAAUGCCAAAACCAUUUCUGUGCUUUUGCUGGUAACGUUUGUAUCUGUUUUGGGAAAUGGAGUCGAUAGUAAACUUAAAGCUGGACAAACUAUUUCUGAAAUUGAUAGGAGACUGAAGCUUCUCAAUAAGCCUGCAGUAAAAAGUAUUAAGGUAUGUCACAUGCUACUAGUCUAGUACCCCUGGACAAUUUUCGUCACUUAUUAUGUUGGCACUCUAAUGUAAGAGAUUGUUCCCGUAGAGUGAAGAUGGAGAUAUUAUAGAUUGUGUUGACAUCUACAAACAAUCUGCAUUUGAUCAUCAAGCAUUGAAGAACCAUAAAAUUCAGGUGCAUUUAUUAUUAUUCUUACCCCUUCUAUGAUUUGGAGAACAUUUGUUUUCUGAAAAAUGAAGCCUUAAGUGGACUGUCUUCAUUCAUGUAAUAAGCAGCUGAAACCUAGUGUUGAUCUACUGUCGGAGGAAUUGGAUAGAAGGAACGAGUCUCCGCGGCCUGUAAUGAUGCAAACUUGGCAAAAGAGUGGAAGUUGCCCAAAUGGAACUGUUCCCAUUCGCAGAAUCCAGAGGGAAGACUUAUUGAGAGCAGCUUCUCUUGAAAAUUUUGGAAGAAAAGCCCCGGAAAUUCCCUCUUCAGCAAACAAAACAAAUGUUAAAGAAACUCAGUUUAUGUCUUUCAACGAUAGCAAACCAUUAGGAUUUCCUCCCAUAGUUAACCGUUCUGUAAGCCCUCUUUAAGCAGCUGCCAUGUUUUUUUGCCCUUUUUUCAUUUCCUGAACAUAUUUUUUUGUUGCUUAACUCCUAAUUUCUUGAUACACUUCCUGAACCAGGCUGCAUUACUUGUUACAGUCGGAUACAAUUAUAUAGGAGCUCAGGGAGAUAUAAACGUUUGGAACCCAAAAGUUGACUUACCAGAUGAUUAUACUACGGCUCAAAUCUGGCUUAAGGGUGGCCCUGGUGACAAUUUUGAAAGCAUAGAGGGAGGAUGGGUGGUUAGUGCAUUUACCAAAAACAAACAAAAAAUGCCAACAGUUCUAUAUCUUUAUGCUUUGCUCCUAAUCUUAUUAUAAACUGUUUUCCAGGUAAAUCCCAAGUUAUAUGGUGAUAAACUCACGCGUCUAUUUGUGUAUUGGACAGUAAGUACACCAAUUAUCUGCGCAAAAAAAAAAAAAAAAAAAAAAANNNNNNNNNNNNNNNNNNNNNNNNNNNNNNNNNNNNNNNNNNNNNAAAAAAAAAAAAAAAAAAAAAAACUCAUCCCAUAAGUGGAUGACGGUACUUAACUACUUGUUCCAUGCAUGUUCAUCUUAUAUUUGUUUCCAGAGGGAUGGCUACAAAUCGACAGGUUGCUUUGACGCCAUUUGCUCUGGGUUUGUGCAAACAGGACAAAUAGCCCUUGGCGCAACCAUUAGCCCCAUCUCCAGUUCUGGAGGAUCCCAAUAUUAUGUGACUGUUGGCAUAUCCCUGGUAAUAUUUUAAAUUACAUUUUUCUUCCUUUUUGGAUGCUACUAUGUAUGUAAACUCCAUGUCUGUUGAUUUUCAGGAUCCUAACUCAGGAAAUUGGUGGUUAAAACUUAAUGGUAACGUUGUUGUUGGCUACUGGCCUGGAAGUCUCUUUGGUUACCUAAGUCACAGUGCUACAAUAGUGGAGUGGGGAGGACAAGUUUAUAGCCCAAAUGUGAAGAAAACUCCUCAUACAAAAACUGCCAUGGGCAGUGGAGAAUUUUCACAUAGUCUUCAAGGUUCUGCUUGUUCAAUAGAGCACGUUCGAAUUAUAGACUAUUCUCUUCAGCUCAAGUACCCUCAAUGGGUGGGCACUUGGGCUGAUGAAUAUUAUUGCUACGAUGCAUAUAAUUUUGUUGAAGGAUACACAACUGAACCAGUGUUCUUCUUUGGAGGGCCUGGCCAAAAUCCUAAUUGUAAGUGAGAAUCAUGAUUUAAAGCAAAAGCGUUACGUACUCAUUUCAAUGUAACAAAGUAAUUUUCACAGCUCCCCAACUGUAGCUAUACAUCAAAGUAUCCACUCAUUUCAUAUUGUUGCUGUGAAGUUUAAUGGAGCUGAUGUGCCAAAAUCGGAUCCAUUAUGGUAGAGUUUACAUUUUAGAUUGGAGUGGGAAUUCUGAAGAGUGAGAAUCUUGAAAUUAAAAGCGUGGAAUGAGAGUGAGAGUAUGUUAUUUACUUACACUUGAGUGGGAGUAUGAAAUUGUCUUGGAUUGGUAGUAAAUAAUUUAAAUUACAGUUUUACCUUUAUUUAAAGAAUUAUAAUUUUUAAUUACAAAAUUAAUAAAAAUAUAUUUGAAAAAUAAAAUAUUUAUUUUAUUAUAUUUAUAAAUUAAUAAUAAUUAUUAAUAUUCUUAAUUAUGUAAAUCAUAAUCUUUUAUUAAUUUUAAUUUGAAUUAUGUAAAUACAAAAUUUUUAAUAAUAACACAAAUGAAACAUUAUUAUUGAUAAUCUNNNNNNNNNNNNNNNNNNNNNNNNNNNNNNNNNNNNNNNNNNNNNNNNNNNNNNNNNNNNNNNNNNNNNNNNNNNNNNNNNNNNNNNNNNNNNNNNNNNNNNNNNNNNNNNNNNNNNNNNNNNNNNNNNNNNNNNNNNNNNNNNNNNNNNNNNNNNNNNNNNNNNNNNNNNNNNNNNNNNNNNNNNNNNNNNNNNNAGCAGUAUUUUAUUUUAUUAAAUCUAAUAAAAUAAGUAUGUUUAUUAUUAUUUUUAAUAAAUGUAAUUUAUAAUAUAAUAUAAUAAUAUUAUUUAAAUAAAUAUGAUGUUAUUUAUUUUAUUUUAUUAAGAGAAAUUAUUAGUCAUAUACAUAUAUUAUUAUUUUUAAUAAAUAUAAUUUAUAAAAUAAUAUAAUAAUAUCAUUUAAAUAAAUAUUGUUAACUUCCGUUAGAAAGUUAACAGAAUUGUGACAAAUUGACUAUUUUGCCCUUGAAACUCAAAAUGAGGUAAAAAUAUAAAUUUACCCAAAAAAUUAACGUAAAUUUUCAAUACACAAUUUUUUUUUAUUUUUUUUAUUAACAAUACAUUUUUUUGAUUAAAAAAAAGAAUUAUUAAUGGUACAUAAUAUUAACAAUUAUCCAUAAAAAAAUAUCCAUAUUAUACCAUAAAAAAUUAUUAACAAUAUAUUAUUUACAAUUAUACAUAUUAUACCAUAAAAAUUUUUAGUUGGAGCUUGGAGGAGUAGAUCUUCAAAAAUUUAGGUUAAAUUUCAGAGAAGUAGAUUCGGUUGUAAAGUAGUUUUUUUUAGUAAUUAUUAACAAUUAUCCGAUAAAUGGGAUGACAUGUCAUUUUUAUCAAUAUAUAUGAUAUGACAUGUCAUUUUUUACUAGGUAAAUAGGAUGACAUGUCGUUUUUUUAAUCAAAGUUUCGUCAAUCUUAAAAGACUAAAUUACCCUUAUGAUGUCAGCGCUUGCAAACGGAAGUUAACGGAUUGGUGGACGGCAGAAAUUUUUUGUCAACUUAGGGUAUACGAGUGAUACACUUGAAAAGUGUUCACACACGUUUGAUACGAGUGUCAUUUAAAUGUAUAUGAUUGAUAAUUUUCCUUUUAUUAAAUAUUAUUUAUUUUAUUUUAAAUAUAAGGAUAAAAAGGGAAGAGGGGGGAGUGGAUUCAAUCCACUCUCUCCUUAAAAAUUGUAAGUAAAUAUUAGAGUUGGAGGAAUCCAAACUUCUCACUCUCACUCCAGAAAAUAAACACUACAUAUAAGCAGUGCAAUCUAAUAUAUUUUAAAGUAACUAUCAAUUGUCAAUUUGAAGGGUGAAAAAAAUGAAUGGAAAAUACUUCUUUUUUUUAUGUUUGCUUUCGGAGAUUUGCAGAUGCAACAGAGGGGAAUCAAUUGAGAAAGCAAUUCUUUAAUUGUAAGUCAAAAACUUUGUUCUUUUGCCUAUUUUUGUAGGUGUGUUCGUACUCACAACUCAAACGUUAACAAUGAACUAAUAACAGAUAUCUCAACAAGUUUAUCACAAAUUAGUUGUCAUGAGAUGUGGCAUUAAUUGAGUGAUUAUGAUUUUGCACUAUUUUUAAUCCGCCAUUUUACCCUCCACUUGAAGAAAUGAAACCCACGUGAGUUUAGGAUAAACUUUUAGGAUAACUAGCAUUCUUAAACAUUAAUAACACAAUAUAUAUUAAGGAAAUAACUUUUAAGACCUCCGAGGGAAUUAUCCCUGAAUAAGGCAAUUUUGUAUUCCAUUUUUAGAAAAAGAAUAAAUCAGUUGGAUUUGGGUUUGUUUGGAUAAAAUAACUUGAUUGGAACUUUGCAAGAACCCACCUGCAAUGGAAACAAAAAUUUGACUUUUCAAAUGAACUUGAAGCAGGGUUAAUGAGCAAUAAAUAUUACAUAAUUGCACUUUGGAAAAUGACACUUUUGCUUUACAGUGUUUGUGUCAUCAGGAAAUUUCGAUUUUCCAAUCACUCUUGAUGCUUUUGUUUCUGCCGCCAAAGCUGCUUUUGUAACAGAGCAAAAAUGGAGAAAACAGUUUAUUUGUUUUUGUUGUUUGGGGCUAUAUCUACCCUGUGUAAUGGAGUAGAAGUGAACGCUAAAGCUAGAAAAACUCUUCCUGAAAUUGACAGGAAGUUGAAGCUUCUCAACAGGCCUGCAGUAAAAAGCAUUAAGGUAUAAGUGAGUAAUGGUAUUUUACAUCCUUAAUAUUUAUUAAAAAAAAAAAAAUUCACUCUUGUUUUGGGUGGUUGGUAAUGGUAUUUUACAUCCUUAAUAUUUAUUUUACAUCCUUAAUAUUUAUUAAAAAAAAAAAAAUUCACUCUUGUUUUGGGUGGUUGGUACUCACUCCCUUAACUUUUGAGUUUUGCUACCAACCACUCUUGUUACUAACCAUUAACCCAGGAGUGGUUUCUGCUGUAAAUAUUUUAAUACUUAAAAAAAUAAUACUGGCUUGUCAAAAAAUUAAUAGAGCAUCAGCAGUUGUUUUUCCUUUUAAGACGCUGAAAAACUAGCAUUUAUGGUAGAGUUUAUCUUUCAUAGAGUGCACAUAAUGGGAUGUUUCCUUCUGUAGAGUGAAGAUGGAGAUAUUAUUGAUUGUGUUGAUAUAUACAAACAACCUGCACUUGAUCAUCCUGCAUUGAAGAACCACACAAUUCAGGUGCAUUUUAUCAUUUCUCUCUUCUUUUCCUGAGCUACUUAUGAAAGAUCAUGGUUAGAAACUUGCACUGACUACAAUUCUGUUAGAUUUUUACUAGUCUUGCUUCAUACAAUAUGCAGCUGAGCCCCAGUUUUGAUAUACCAGCCGAGAAAGUGGAUAGAAGAAAUGAGUCUUCUAGGCUGCCGGUAACAAUUCAAACUUGGCAAAAGAGUGGAAGUUGUCCAAACGGAACUGUUCCAAUUCGAAGAAUUCGAAGGCAAGAUUUAUUGAGAGCAUCUUCUCUUCAGCAAUUUGGGAGAAAAGUCCCUGAAGUAUCCUAUGCAGCUAAUAGAACAGAUGCUACACACAGCAAAUUUGAGUCUAUAAACAACAAAACGAUCCACCUUGGUCCUCUAGUUGACCGUUCAGUGAGCAGCUGUAGCUUUUUCAUGCCCUUAAUAAAUUCUUGUUGUUUCAAAUUCUCCUAAUUUUCUUGAUGGUACUAAGUACCAGGCUGCACCCCUUCUUACAACACAAUACAAUUGCAUAAAAGCUACUUCUAAUAUUCUCGGUUACAAUUCCUGAACCAGGCUGCAGUACUUGUUACAGUCGGAUUCAAUUACAUAGGAGCUCAAGGAGAUAUAAACGUUUGGAAUCCGAGAGUUGAAUCGCCAGAUGAUUAUACUACUGCUCAAAUUUGGCUCAAAGGUGGGCCUGGUGACAAUUUUGAAAGCGUAGAGGGAGGAUGGGUGGUUAGUACAUUUACCAAUAAUGUAAAUAAAAAUGCUAACAGUUCUACAUAUUUAUGCUUUCUUCCUAAUCUAAUUAUAAUUUUUUUUUUCAGGUAAAUCCAAAGUUAUAUGGUGAUAAACUGACGCGAUUAUUUGUAUAUUGGACUGUAAGUGUAUCAAUUUUCAUUAAAAACUCUCACCCCAGAAGUGAAUUGUGGUUCUUACUUACUGGUUCCAAACAUGUUCAUCUCAGAAGGAUAGCUACAAAUCGACAGGAUGCUUCGAUGCCAUUUGCUCUGGGUUUGUGCAAACAGGACAAGUAGCCCUUGGAGCAGCCAUUGGUCCUUGGUCGAUUUCUGAAGGACCCCAGUAUUAUUUGCCGGUCGGCAUAUACUUGGUAUGAUGGUAAUAAUUUUUUUUUCUUUCUUUUCCUUUAAUGCACCUAAAAAUGUAAAACUCCAUUUUUUUUUUCUUUUUCAAUUUCAGGAUCCUAACACAAAAAAUUGGUGGCUAAAAGUUAAUGGUAACAUUGUUGUCGGCUAUUGGCCUGGAAGUCUCUUCAGUUACCUAUCGUACAGUGCAAUAUUAGUGGAAUGGGGAGGACAAGUUUAUAGCCCAAAUGUGAAGAAAACUCCUCAUACAAAAACUGCCAUGGGGAGCGGAUCAUUUUCACAUGGUCUUCAGGGUUCUGCUUGUUCAAUCGAGCACGUUCGAAUUAUAGACUUUUCUCUUCAGCUCAAGUACCCUCAAUGGGUAGGCACUUGGGCUGACGAAUAUUACUGCUAUGAUGCUUACAAUUAUGUUAAAGGCUAUACUACUGAACCAGUGUUCUUCUUCGGAGGGCCUGGUCAAAAUCCUAUUUGUAAGUGAGAAUUAUGAAUUAAAGCAACAAGCAUAAUGAAAUCAGUGUAAUAUAACAUAGUGAUUUUCACAGCUCCUUAUCUGUUACUGUACAUCCAAUUGGUGAAAAACAUCAACGUAUCCGCUCCCUUCAUGAUGUUGCUGUGAAGAUUAAUGGAGCUGAUAUGCCCAAAACGGAUCCAUCAUAAGCUGUGAAAUCCAAAGUAUUUUUAACUAGUAAUCAGUUGGCAAUCCGAAGGUGCAAAGUAUGAAUGGAAUUGCUUAAGUAUGUUAGCUUUAGAGAUUUACAGAUACAACAGAUGGGAAUGAACUGAAAGAUAGCUAUUCUUUACAGAUAAUAUGUUAGCUAUGGAGAUUUACAGGUACCUGACUGAUAAUGUACACGGGGCAUAAGAUUGCUAAGGUGAAAACUAACAUGAGGAGAGGAUCCUAUCCGCUAUAGGUGUAUUCGCACUAACAAUUCUCUUAUCACAACAUAUAUUAAGGAGUAAGUUUUAAGAUCUGUCUGGGAAUUCUUCCUGAAUAGACAAAUUUGUCUUCCAUUUUUAGAAAAAGAAAAAGAAAAUCCACUGCUUUUGUUUGGAUUAGGCUACCUUAUUAAAUAACUUGCCUGGAACUUUGCUAGAACCAACUUGAAAUGGAAACAGAAUUAAAAGAUUAAUCGACUUUCCAAUAACUUGAAGCAGGGUGUUUGAACACCAAUGAUUAUUUAAUUGCACCUUGAAGAUGAUAAUUUAGCUUUACAAUAUCUUCGUCAUCUGGGAUUUUCCUACAAGUCCUGUUGGCUUUUGUGAGAAAGCACAUAUGGAGAAAACAGUCUGUUUGCUUUUGUUUAUAGUGGCUGCAUCUAGUUUGAGUAACGGAGUAAAAGUGAAUGCUAAAGCUAGAGAAACCCUUUCUGAAAUUGACAAGAAGUUGAAGCUUAUCAACAAGCCAGCAGUAAAAAGUAUCAAGGUAUGGCAUACAAUAAAUAUUUAGAUCUUAUCAAGUUCUAAACUUGGGAGGCCAAUGUUGUAUCAAUGAGUCCAAAAGUGAUUAAGGGUGGUUUUUCUUCUUAAACUUGUAGUAUUUAAAAAUCCCACUGGCUUGUCAAAUGUUUAAUAGAGCGUUGCUGGGCAGUUUUUGUUAUUAAGAUAGUGAAAGAAUAGCAUAUACGGUAGCCAUUUUCUUCCAUAAAGUGAUGAGUUCUUUAAUAACAUAAUGUGAUGGUUCCUCCUGUAGAGUGAAGAUGGAGAUAUUAUCGACUGUGUUGAUAUCUACAAACAGCCUGCGUUUGAUUAUCCAGCAUUGAAGAACCACACGAUUCAGGUACAUCGAUCAAUUCAUUUUUCAAUUUCCGAGCCACUGGUGAAAAGAACCAAAGGUAGAAAGUUCCCUUUCUAUCAAAAAUACAAAGAAUUUUGCACUUGCAAGAACUUUGGUUAUUUUCUCACUUGUCUUUGCUUCAUGUUAUAUACAGCUGAGGCCCAGUUUUAAUAUACCAUCUGGGAAAUUGGAUAGAAGAAAUGAGUCUUUUAGACCAGUAGCAGUCCAAACUUGGCAAAAGAGUGGAAGUUGUCCGAAUGGAACUGUUCCAAUUCGAAGAAUUCGAAGACAAGACUUAUUGACAGCAGCUUCUCUUGAGCAGUUUGGGAGAAAAUUCCCAGAAAUUUCCUAUGCAGCCAACAAAACAGAUGCUAAACACAGCAAAUUUGUGUCUCUAAACAGCAAGACAGUCAAUCUUGAUCGUCUGGUUAACCGUUCAGUGAGCAGCUAGAGCUUUUUCACGCCCGUAAUUAAUUUCCAUUGUUUAACUUCUCUUAAUUUUCUUGACGGCACUUCAUGUACCAGGCUGCAGUCCUGCUUACAGUAGGAUACAAUUACAUAGGAGCUCAAGCAAAUAUAAAUGUCUGGUGUCCAAACGUUGAAUCAACAGAAGAUUAUACCACUGCUCAAAUCUGGCUUAAGGGUGGGCCUGGUGACAAUUUUGAAAGUGUGGAGUCAGGAUGGAUGGUCUGUACAACUACCCAAAGCAUGCUUCACAAAACAGUCAAUGCUAACAAUUUAGCAUCUUUAUAUUUUUCUCUAACUUUACUAUAAUCUCUAUAUUCAGAUAAAUCCCAAGUUAUAUGGUGAUAAACUCCCACGAUUUUUUGCAUACUGGACUGUAAGUAUAUUUUCUACUAAAGCUUCUCUAAACUACUUUGGAUUGCAAGUACAGUAGCUAAUUUGUUCCAUGUCUAUCUCAAUUUUUUUAGAGGGAUGCUUACAAAUCAACCGGUUGCUUCGACCUGACCUGCACUGGUUUUGUGCAAACAGGCACUCAGAUUGCCCUUGGUGCAUCCAUUAGUCCUUGGUCUAGUACUGCCGGACCCCAGUAUUACAUUCCCAUUGCCAUGUCCAGGGUAACAAUUUAUAUCUGCUUUUUCUUGGUUAAGUUGAUUGUUUGAAGUUAUAAAUCAGCAGUAAAUAUUUAAUGAAGUCCAUUUUUAUUGAUUCCAGGACCCUCAAACAGGAAAUUGGUGGUUAAUGUAUGGCGAUGCUGUUAUUGGGUACUGGCCUGGAGCUCUCUUUGAUUACCUGAAGCAAAGUGCAAUCUUUGUUGAAUGGGGAGGGCAAGUCUACAGUCCAAAUGUGAAGAAAACUCCACACACCAAGACUGCUAUGGGCAGCGGAUCAUUUGCAAGUUCGCUCUACGGAUCAGCGUGUUACAUUGACCAUAUUAGAAUCAUUGAUUAUUCUCUCCAGCUCAAGUACCCGCAAUGGGUAGGCACUUGGGCUGAUGAAGAAGAUUGCUAUGAUGCAUAUAAUUUAAUUCAAGGAUAUACUGUUGAACCUGUAUUCUUCUUUGGAGGGCCUGGUCAAAAUCCUCACUGUAUGUAAUGUGAGGAUAAGAAUGAAAAUGAAACGAAAUAUUGCAGUGCAAUCUUGCUAAUCGCGGAAGUUAAUUAUUUGCAAGAAAGUUGUGAUCUGUUUUCUUCCUUGUAUCAAUGAGAACAUCUAAAGUCAUGUUGAAUGGAUUGAUUUUGUGGGAAGAAAAGGAAGUUCUGCCAUAUGAAGAGAAGAAUAAAAAUGGUGCUUUCUCAAUGACCCCUGCUGUAUUUCCAUAUAUAAAAAUAAUCCCCACUUAGAGGAAUCUGAAUAGUCAAAGUAAAUCAAUAAGGUUUCGUUAGCAAUAGGUGAGUGAUUUGAAUUUGCAAUGGCUGCCACUAUUUCAAUCCACUGUUGCUUGCAUUUGACUCUAGUUAUCACCGGUCUCAUGUUGAUUCAUGGAUUUGCUAAAGAGAAAACUGCAAUGAUAAAAAACAAAGAGAAGCUUAUCAAGCAUAAACAUGCUUUUAAGUUUUAAAACCAUUUCAGGUUGUGAUUACCAUAACUUUUUUCUCAAUUCAUUUGGUAGGAUGAUUUCAUAGGGAUGUAUUUGCUUCUCGAAAAUGGGGUUAGUGUCGACUGCAUUGACAUCUACAAACAACCGGCUUUUAAUCAUCCUCUUCUCAAGAAUCACAAGAUACAGGUUUCUUGGUUUUAUAAGUACUUGGUGCAAAUUUAUAAGCACAUAUGGUAAACCCCUUCGAAAUUGCUAUUAUUUCAAGUGACUAGUACUCGGUAAAUGCUCUUGUUUCUGAUUUUCCUUAGAGUAAUUAACAGAUGAAGCCUACUUCACACCCAGAACAAAAGAAAUCUAUGGCCUCCAAAAAUUCCCACACACAGCUUAUUCAACUCAAGGCAGUCGACUGUCCAGAAGGAACAGUCACCAUUUUAAGAACUCGCCAGAUGGUAAUCUUAUGGACACUCGAUCAAGCAGAAGUGCCACCUAUGGAUUCGGCUUUAACAGCAAUGAAUAUGAGGUUAAAUAUAACAUGUAACAAUGAAUAAUGCCGCCUAUAAUACUUUUCACAUUCUGCUAAUCAUUUUCGUUGAUGCAGACUUAAAUAUUGCUGAUGCUGGAUGGAUAUGCAUUCAUGGCUUCAACGUAUACAUUUUACGCAUAUGGAACCUUUGAUACAUGCUCUUCCAAACUGGAUAUGAUUAAAUAUGUAGAAUGUUGAUUUUAAACAAAGAGAACAGAACACAGAGAAAUUGGGGCUGUUAAUUGCAUGUCAUUCAUUGUUGCAGUAUCUGAAUUUAUUCAAAGAAAAGAAACAAACAAAGCCAAAAAAUCUGCCUACAUAUCUUUAACAUAUAUCUGAUAUCAUAAAUUCAAAAACAAAUUGUUCCUACAAUCUUGCAGGAUAUUAUUGACAGCAUAAUCAUAUCUUUGCUGUUUUUAUUUUUGCUCAAAUCCUGCAGCAAAUAUAGCAUUGUCAUCAUAGAAAUAUUGAACCAGAACUUGGAGCAUAUUUCGUCGCUCUUAUUAUUUUGAUCAUAGUCUAAUUGACUGUUUAUGGGUAUAUUUUUUUCGCGUUUUUAGGUGAAUCCAACACUAUAUGGAAACAACCUUUCACGGCUAGUUGCAUUUUUGACAGUGAGCUUUAAUUAUCAUAGAUUCUCUUAAUCAUAUAAAUUGUCAAUGUUUUUGCUUAACAUGCAUGUUAAUUUUCCAUAUUGUAUGUCAAAUUCAGAAAGAUAAAUUCAGCAAAACAGGUUACCAUGAUCUCAAAUGCUUUGGUUUCGUUCAAGUGUCCAGUACACAGUAUCUUGGCUGUGUACUAGAGCCUGUUUCUGAAGAUGGUGAUUACAACCACCAAUAUGAAGUUUUUAUUGCGAUUUACAAGGUAAUUUACUCAUGCUUUACGCCAUAAAAUUGCAUGCUCAAAAAAAUUAGCAAGUGUUUCAGGAUAUAGGCUCGAGAAGUUCGUGGUUAAGAUAUAAGGUGUAAGCAUCGGAUACCGCCCAACUACAAUUUUCACAAAACUGGCAGACAGAGCCAACAGGGUGGUCUGGGGGUGUAGAGUCUACACAUUCCAGCAAAAAUGGGCACACAUUAAAAACAAGGCGGUCUGGAUGCCAUGCUUUUUUUUAUUUGAGUCUACAAGGAGGAGAAAAAAACGACCGGGGCAGUUUCUUUUAUUAUGGUAGUUUUGCAGCUUGGUAUGAAUGCCAAUAACAUAUAUAAAAAUAUUUGGUAAUUAAUGUGACAUGCUUACGCCUGCAGUUAAAUAAAUUUGUCAAGAAAUUCCAAUAGCACAGCAUAGUAAAGGCUCAGUUCAUGAUAAGUGUUUGUAUUGCUACAGAUGUGACAAGCCUACAACAUACGAGGGAAGUCAGUUUUGUGGACUUGGCUAUGUUGCAACUGUAGUACCGUGCCACAAUUGCAACUCAUUAGAUCCACUUGGAUCCACUGUUGCAACCCUCAUCCAAGUGGAUCCAAUGGCUGGUUGCAACUGUGGCACGGUACUACAGUUGCAACAUAGCCGGACCCCAGUUUUGUCAGUGGAAAAACUGUCGUCCCCUUCCCUUAUGGAGAGAUCUAUCCCUCUGCCUAGGAAUAAUCUUAAACACAAAAAUAUUUUCAUACUAUACAGACUUCCUGUAUCCUUCUAGAGAUACCUACAUAUGAAUAAGAAUUAUAAUCACAAUCCAUAAGAGAAAAUACAACAUAUCACACCAAAAAAGGAGAGCAGGGAAGGACCAAGCAACACUCCGAAAGAGAAUCGCAGAAUUUAACCAGCCAGAUUUUAUUUGAUGUAAAAAAGCUAAAUUGAGUCAUACUGUUUCCUCUCUUCUUGUAUAGACUGGAAAAUUCGAGCCACAGAUUCAGUAGCUGAUCUAGGAUUGUGAGGCACAACUUUGAUCACUUUUGUUGGCUGGUCUGCAUCAUGAGGCUGAGGGGCCGCCUCCUGAACAACUGGAGACACGGUAGAAACUUGAAGUGCAUCUGUACCUUCAGCAGCAUGACCCAUCCCAUCACCUCGCACUCUCUCACCUGGACUACUUGCCGUACUUCCUUGUAACUCUGUGUCUUUAGAUGCCUGAAACUGCCUUACUGGUGGAACAGCUCCAUUCUUCUGGGCUGGUACAUUACAGGAGCUCUCUUGUGGCAUGUAAAAAUUAGCAUCUCCUUGAGAGAAUUGAUCACGCGAACCUGGCACAGCAAACUGAUUCUUUUGUUCAGCAGCUGAACCUGAGACCGAUGGGUUCAUAACUGGCAUGCCAUAAGGUGGGAAGUAACCAUGACCAACUAGAUGAGCACCAGGCAUAACCCCAUUUCCUUGAAGAGGAAUAGGUGAUGUAAUCCCAUAGUCUGGAUGCAUAAAAUUACCUGUCAGAGGUGCUGGGCCAAAAGGUGAACAUCCUCCCCCGCAAACUGUUCCCAUAAAUCCAGGUCCAGGAUAUGGCUUGUAUAUAAGCCCCUCCGAAGGGGACAUAACAGGAAUCAACCACUGCUGCCCAGGCGAUUGAUGAAAACACCAAUGAGCCAUUCUGGAAUUGGUGGCUUCCAUUGGUGGAGGUUGGUUUGCACAGUAAGGCCCAUAAUUUGAAGGCUGACUACCAUUUUUCACAGAAGAAAGAGACGUCUUCCCUACAGCAUUUUCCGCAGAGGAUUCUAUCUUAUGGUUAGGCUUCUCAGAAUCAACUUUGCGCUUAACACUGUGUGGCAGUGGUUUUACAACAUACUCCAAUGGAAGUUUUUUAGCAGGAGAGGCCUUCAAAGAUGGUUUGCCAAGACAGGCGCUCUCUUCAAGCAAAACGUCUGGUGAUUCAGCAAUCAGUUGUUGGACCUGUUUGAAUACACAGAUUAAUUUAAUUUCCUUACAGCAGGAAAAAAAUAAAGGCAAGAGAGUCUGCAGCCCUUGCCAGGAGAAGUAUAAGCUACUUCACAGAGUUAAGACAUCCUUACCUUGAUUAGUCUAUGCAACUCAAAUACUUGAACUGCAAACACUCUUUGCUGACUGUAUACAGUAACAGGAGUUGCAUCAAGAACCAAAUUCCAUAGAAAUCAUUAAAGGAGUUUAACAAACACAGCACAGAGAUAGGACUAACAAGAAUCCAAUGGACAUCCACAUGCGAUCAGAUAUCAUAUACCAUAAUUAUGAAGGCUGUAGCAUGCAGAACAAAACAACUUGCAUACAUACAAAUGCAAGAUGUUAUUUGGGUUGGCUUUAAAAUUACAAUAUCCAACAAAAAAUUUCACCAAGUACAAACUUUUUAGACCAUAACCACACUUUUUAUCCAACGCCCAUUGUAGAUACAGCUAGCCUCACGCACCUACAAGUGUCAAAGAAGCCUAAAAUCUCUCCCUAGCUCUCUAAUUACAAUCAUACUCUAGCAAUCCUAGUGCACUCCAAUAAAGUCAGAGACAAAAAAAAAAAAAGGAGAAUAUGGUCAAAGACUACGAUACACACAAUUGUAACAAGUUCCUAAACAAGAAUCACUUGGCAAAAUUUCAGUAAUAAAUACCACCAGCAGAAGACCGGAAUUUUUCAUUUCAAAACUUGUACAUUUUCUCCCUUGGGAAAAGCGAGUGAAGUGGAGAACUCUAUUAAUAACUACAAAGAUGUACAAAUAACUAGAAGCAGUACUAGACAUCACCUUGAUUUUACAAUAGAAAGGAAUAAGAAGGAAUAAGAAAAUACAUGCAAGAUAAUGAUUCAGAAUGGAGAUACGUACAUUUUGCAUCUACUUGAAGAGAUGAAGCAUAAAUUUUCUGUUCGAAAUAAUGAAAACGUGUAUAACACAUACAAACUGUACACGCCUAACAUAUAUCAUAAACACAUUGCACAAAAGACUGCGAAUCACAACCCCACAAUAUCUUCCAACAUAAAAAUACUAAGACAUCAAAUGAAACAUCCCAUUCGCCUCCAAGUACUGUAAAAAAUUAUCCCGUUUCUCAGAGAUCCACCCAACAUAAGCUUCAGGGAUCAUCCUCCAGCGAUAUUUCCUUUCCUGCUCCAAGCCCCCAAGUGCUGUGGAUAGAUAAACUCCCAGGAUCACAGGGAAAAGAAAGCAACACCACACCGAGACAGGAAGAUAUGCGAAAAGCAGAUGCAAGACAACAAACAAAAGUGAAAUGAUCCACUGUCUCAGGGCCUCCUUGCAUACCUCGAUUAGGAUUGUCCAUUUCCCUGCUGUAAGAUGAUCCAUUGUUAAAACAUUAUUGAGGGCCUUUGAACAAAAAAGGGGUCACUUACGAGGAAUCCCGGAACUCCACACCAUAAACCUUCCCUCCCUCAAAGUCACAAGUACAACUCUUAAUUCACAAGUGUAGCUUUAUACUGUGAAAAUACUACAAUGAGCAUCUCUUCUCCAAUAAAGAAAUUCUCAUAUUCUGAAAUUUACACCAUAUUAGACAAACUAAGAAACUGUCAAAGUUUCUAAAAGAAAAAUCUAUUACAAUCAUCCUGAAGUCAAUAGUAGGCCCAGCCCCAGACCACAAGCAAACUCAUGCCAGUGGAUCUCAAAAAGAAAAUUGAGAAGAGGCUGCCACUGCAAAUUACUUGCGUCCAUAAAAAGAACAACGAGUCUAGCAUGAAAACAAAAACUCUAAAAGUACUGAAAAAAUUAAGGAAAUGAAUUGUGGGUCCAUCCCAUUUCGACUUGUCACAGCCAAAUAAGAUAAUACACGUCCCAUAAAACCUCACUACUCCACCCCUUAGUUUCCUAUGGCAUACCAGCAUCCUUACAUUUGCAUAAAAUACAGAUAUAAUAUCAUCUAACAGAUAUGGUAUAUCCACUGCUUAUACAACAUACAAUGGUGCAUUAGGACGAUUUCAAGUCCCAAAUUCAGAGCCAUGAAGAAGAAAACAGGAUAAGAAGCUAUUAAUAAGCACCAGAUACUUACUUGACAAUUGCUCUUCUUGCUUUCCAGAAAUGUUUAUGACCUAUUAUUCCAACAACAUCAUCAGGAGACAUAUCCACGCCUGACAUAGAAUCCACCAUGGAGGUUUCAGAGACAUCGUCACUUUUAUCUCCACUUCCCAACUGCAGUGACCCACAAGUCUUGUCUACAUGGUAUCUGCUGUCAUUAUGAAGCCCACUUCGAUGGCCACAGUCUUCUGUUGAAUGAGUGUCACCUCUAGGCUGGAGAACAACUUCCUUCUGAAAAUCCCCAGUGGAGUCAACAUCAUCAUAACGACAACAGCCAUUUGGUGGCAAGCCAGCUCCAGACUCCAGUCGUAAAGAAGCAUCACUAUCAUUUAUUCUGCUAAAAUCAGAUCCUGAGAUUUCUCUAUAUUCUUGAUUAGGAGAUGCACUUACUUCCUUCACAAUCCCAUCAAUCUUUUCUCUAAUUGAUAAAUUCACAGAAGAUUUUGCAGGAAAGUUUCCAAUUGAGAUGCAAAUCUUUGGGUUCUCUUGACAAGCGUGUCCUCCCUGUUGUCUCAAACUGAUACUAGAGGAGCUACUGCGUUUUGGAUUCUUAUCGCAAGCAUUUUGGAAUUUUGUAGACUUACGGGUAUUAGACGGGUUAAAGGGAGAGAGGUUUCCCUUAUCAACAUCACUUUGAGAUUUACCAUGACAUUGUCCCAUCCCUGCCUGAUCGAAUAUAGGAACUGCAAAAUCAUCCUCCUCACUUACUUUCUUACUCUGCUCAUGAUGUUGCAAAUGAGUGUUCAAAGUGGCUCCAGCAGGCUGGUCAGAAUGACACUUCUCAUCCAAAUGAGUGGGUGUUGAAGGAUGUACAGAAUGUGCGAAAAGCAAAUUUCUUUCAAGGCCAUUCCCCUGCAAAUACAACAAUCAUUUAUAUAACUGCAAUGAAGCUGGUCCCUCAUAGAUACUCAUACAUAGAAAGCACACAAUCAUACACACAGACAUAAUUUACUCACAUUAAUCAGAAGUAUCAUAUGUGUAUCACCAAUUAACAUAGGUAAAAAUGAAGUUUUCCUCACAUGUAAACAAAAACAAGUGCACAAACAGUCAGAAGGCCACUGGCCACCCACCAAUAAGACAAAAAUCAGAAAUGACUAGCUGCAACGAAUGAAUCUUUCAAUUCCCCUGGGAGUACAUAAGAAUUUCACUAACACUUGAAAAGCCAACAUCAAAGUCAAACACUUGAUGACCGUAUUAAGAUCUACUUAAACAAGAAGCUUCCAUCACAAUAGGAAAAAACAAAAUAAUUAGUUUUUUUCAUCAUAAUUCAACUGAGCCAAUACAACAAUACAUAAUAGUACCCUUUAGAUUAUCAACAUUGGCAAUACUUUAUCAACAAAAGACCUAGAAGAUCACUCGUGAACUUUUCACCUAUCUCUAACAAAUCAGUUACAGAAGUUGUUGAAGGUACCUGGCUUGAAGAAACUGGAGGAACCAAACUGCUACUGUUUGAUGGAUUCAGAGGCAAAACACCGGUACUAAACCUCUGAGUAGGGAUACUGAGCUGUUCAUAAAGGGCCAUCUUGUUCCUAGGCGGUGCUCUUGGUCCUCCUUUCUCAGUAUCAUUAACAUGUAAUCUAGGGAACAUUGGUCCCAUGAUCUUUUCAUCAUCUUUUCCUCUCUUCAUUUUUUUUUCAACCUAUCUAUUCUAAACAGAACUCAAAAACUAACCCAAAAUGAAACAACUUGCUUCACAUCAAAUUCACUAACAAAUCCCAUGAAAGUCACCUAGGAAUCUAAAACCCACCAGUAGAAACUCACAAUUCAACAUACCCAGAAAUCAAAAUCAGUUCUUUGUAAAUAUCAAGACUCAAAUCUUUAAACAACACAGAAUCUACUCAAGCCUCCAAAACAAAAACUUACCAUAAAAAAAAAUCAAAAUUUCACAAACCCAGAUAACCAAAUCGGCUCUUUCACUAAAAAUCUCUACCAACUUACAAAGCUCAACAUACACACAAUUCAGUCAAAAGUUGGAGCUUAGUAGCUGAAUCGAUGUGGAAAAUGAAAAAAAAAAGGUGAAUUCUUUUAGGAUAUUUGCAAAAUUGUGAAAGCAUAUACAAGAUUGUUAAAAAAGAGAGGGAAUCGAACAAAUUCGAUAAGAAGAAAGAAGGGAUUGGGCUUAUGCUCAUAUAGGGAUUCCUGAGAAGUACAGCGACUUUUAGGAAAAGGGAAAGUGAAAAGUGCUGGAUCCGGGCCCACUUCGGAUAGGCCUAGAAGGCCUAGCACAUUGAUUUUUAUAUUAAAAACCAUGAUCUGGAUUUGUUGCCAGCUUGCUAUUUUAAUUUUAUUUAAUUUAGAUGUUUACGUUAGUUAUUAUUACCCAGUGAAUUGGCUCUUUCGCUGCAAAUUUCUUUAAAUCCCAAAUGAUUCUAUCCAUUUCAUUAAAAAUAUAGUUAAUUACUCAAUGAGCACUUGGCGUUAACAUCAAUAUUUGUUAAUUAUGUGAUAUCAGUAAUUUUAUUAGCAUUUUUAAUAUUUACUAACAAAAAAGACUUCAACCUUAUCCUCAUAAAAUUAUUUUGUUACUUAUUUCAUUAGGAAUUAUUGAUGUUUUAAUACAUUACAUUCAUGUAUUUAUAAUUCAUGUGACGGUAUUAAUACUCUUAAAAGAAGUUCUCUUUUACUCGUAGCUCGCGUUUAAUAAUAAAAUGAUUGUUUUUCAUAAAAUUAGUUUUCUCUUUCUCAUUUUUGUGAUAGUUUUCUCUUUUCUUUUCUUUUUUUUAAUAGUUUUGUCUAUUUUAAAAAAAUUUCUCUACUUUAUUAAUGUUAUUUGUAGAAUUUUUUUUCUUUUUUACUUAUUUUGUGGUUAGACCGGAGUCAAGAUUUUUCUCUAAUCUCGUUCAUUUAAAUAGCUUCUAAUUAAAGAUCUUUUAAUUUAUACGACGUGGCUUAUUAAUCAUUUUUCACACUCUCUUAUUAUGGAGUCAGGAGAUUACAUUUCAAAAUCUUGUUCGUGAUAACAAUGAUUUUGUGAAAGGAGCCGCAACAGCGGCGCUCGCCUACCUAUUCUUGAAAUAUUGGGGCCUGUAAUCUGUAUAUUCACUUUCUAAUUUGAUAUCGAUUCUUCCCUAAUUAGCGUUUCUCGUGAUCAGCGUUUCUGUGCCACAAAUACACGGUCUGUCACAUGUCAAUAGAAUCAUAUCUCUUUCAAUGACGUGGCGCGAAGUGAGUGGUGUACUCCUUGCGGACUUAUUGUUACGGUAAACAUCAGAACCAAACUCUUUUUGCCUUUUUUUAACUUUUUCUCAAUUUAAAUUCAUUUCCGGAAAAGAAAAAAGACAAGCCAGAAUAAAAACCCUAAUAGGGUACAAUACAGAGGGGAAAAGAAAAAAAUUUUAAAAAAAAUUGAUCUGGUUGGAUGGUCCCGAUGACAUGGCUUCGUCUCCUUCUCAUCAAACUCAUAUUCCCCUCUCUUCAGACCCUGGUAAUUAAUUAAUUUAAUUUACAUUUAAAUUUUUUUAAAUUUCGAUCCAGAAUUUUAAUUUUUGAAAUUUAGGUUGUAAUUGAGCAUUUGCAAAUCGUUAAUUGGGGAUUGCUCUGCUCAUUUGAUUAGAUUCGUUUUUCAUUUAACCUUUUGUAUUUUGAACUUACCUUCUGUUUGGUUACUUAGAAAUUAUACGAAGAUGAAAAAUUAUGUUCUUUAAGAAUCUUGAAUCUAAUUGGAAAUGGAGAUUUUUUUGGAAACAAUUUCAAAUUCACGCACUAAUUUGUUAGAAUCACAUUUACAAUUUGUUUUCUUAAUUUGUUAUAAGCAACUGAUAUAUUCUUUUUCGAGUUAUUGGUUGAAACUUUAUUGAGUUGCAACAAUUUUUUUUUUUUGCUGUCUUUUUUCUUAUAUUUCAGAUGGAAAGCCCAUAGAUUCAGUGGUUCCAAUCCAUAUUGUGACCAAUGCUUCUCAACUUCCUGCUGAGUUCCUGGAACCAUCGUCUGAGAGGCAAUUGGUCAUUGGUUUUGACUGUGAGGGAGUUGACCUUUGUCGCCAUGGAAGUCUUUGUAUUAUGCAGGUAUAAUGUGUUUUGCCUUCCCGUUUGAUCCAUCUUAUAUUUGUUCGAAACGAAAUACAUCUAUUUACUUGUUUCUGUUUCAAUAGGAAUGAACCAAAUCCCAUCUACUGUACGUAUGUCAAUUUGAUUUAUGAGAAAAUUUAUAAACUUAAGCUUUGUGCUUUUUGGCAGCUAGCAUUUCCAGAUGCUAUAUAUCUGGUUGACGCUAUUCAGGGUGGGGAGACGGUUGUGAAAGCCUGUAAGCCUGCACUUGAGUCUAGUUACAUCACAAAAGUUAUUCACGAUUGCAAACGAGAUAGUGAGGUCUCUUAUUGAAUUUGUUUACUUCUGCAUCAUGGCAUGCAUGAUAUGCUUGACAGUAUGUUAUUUCUGUUUUUAAAUUUAUUUGUUUGUUUUUGUAGGCAUUAUAUUUUCAAUUUGGCAUUAAGUUGCACAAUGUUGUGGAUACCCAGGUAAAUAUCCUUUAUAACCUACUGAAAACUAUUGCAGGAUUGUGUGCCCUUUUAGUACCUUUUCAAGAUAAAGAAAAGGUGUCCAAUUUUGAGUUUGUAUGGAGACAUUAGGAAUGGAAAACAAGUGAAGUUUUGAGCAUGUCAAAGUUUCUGUUUUGUCUUUUUACCUAGAUGCUUAACUUACCUUCAUUUAUGGACGGGUCUGGAUUGAACCUCUUGCACAUAUUAUUGGCUAUGCCUGUUAAACUAUCAUUGACUUUAUCGUUAUCGGCUGGAGAGAUCUUGUAUAUGUAGAAGGAAAAACCAAUCCCAGUUGUAUAAAGAAAUUUUGCAUUGUCAGUCUGUAAUUUACUUUUGGAAAUGGUUUAUGGAGUUAUUUUGGAAACCUGUUAAACCACCAUUAGACUGAUGUGGUGCUUCGAGAUCAAAAUGUAAUGAAGGUAGAGAAGAUUGGUCCUUAGAUGUGGUUGAUGAAUUAUGAUAUUCCUUUUUAGUAAUCAAUAAUAGAAACAAAAUUCUCGUUCAUUAGCACUGGUUUGAUGUUUAAACUUGCUUUUACUUGACAUGGACUUGUACUUUUUGCUAUCACUCGUCAAUUUAAGUAUCAAUAUCCACUUUUACACUUAUGUUACGGGAACAGCAAUUAGAUUUGAAAUCAAUUAUAAAAGCAAAAUUCUUGUUCACUUUGGAGCCAUCAAUUUAUUAUUGACAUAAUCAGUGAACAUAUAUCUAAGAAUGCCUUUUUCUCCUGGUGGACUGCAGAUUGCUUAUUCUUUAAUAGAGGAGCAGGAAGGUCGGAAAAGAUCACCGGAUGACUACAUAUCAUUUGUUGGUCUUCUCGCAGAUCCACGCUAUUGUGGUAUUUAUAUGUCGUGGUAUCCAUUUAAGUAAAUAUUUGUUUCGUGUCGUCGAAACUUUUUGUUUCCUCAAUGUUUGUUUGUUUGGUCAACUUUUUAGUGAGCAGAGUUUAAAUUGCUUUCGAUAUUUUAUCCUUAGUAGUUACCCCUGAUACCUUUCUUUUGUUAAGCCAGUUAGGUAUUCCUGAUUUUGAAGUUAGGAUUUGUAGACAAUUUUCUUUUCCCUGUGUGCAAUUAAGCCAACCAAGACUAGAAAAUAGAUAAGAAGCAAAGAAGAUGCAUUAGUUUCAUCAAUUGCUGUAUUACUGCUUUUACAAUCAUCUUCUAUUCAUCUGGUUACCCUGCUCUGCUGUAAAGUGGCACUCUACACUUUUUAGUUCUUUACUUGAUUUUUUUGCCCUAUCUCUGCAGAGAUUUGAUAAAUAAGGUUUUGUCUUGCCUUUCUGCUCAGGAUUAAGUUUUGGUUUUGUGACUUGAUAGAUUUAAGAGCAUCUUUUUGUUAUAGACUUGAUUUAUUAUUCAUAUUUUACUACUGUUUGAUACUGCCUGCUAGUGUUGCUAGACUCUUCAAAUUCAUGAUCAGACAUGAUUUGUUGACCAUUCUUUAAUGUCUAUGGCUGUCUCAAAGUCGCUCCUGAAAUUUUUGCAUUAAUUAUUAGGUUGCUGAAAUGUGUUGCUUUUAUUUAAACGCAGGUAUAUCUUAUCAAGAGAAGGAAGAGGUUCGUGUACUCCUUAGGCAGGUUAGUUUUGAAUCUAAUUCAUUCUGAAAUUCUGGGCUAUGGUAGUUCAAAUUUUUGGAUCCUAGAAUUAAAAGUAUUCUUGUUGCCUUGGUUUGAUUCUAUCAAAUUCUUUGGGAUGUGGCUUCUUGGGAAGCCAAAUUCUGUUGUUUGGAAGAUUGUGUGAUAGAUUUCACAAUGUAAUAAAUGGCUUCCAGCUAGAAAGGAUAUCAGUAUAUGCUCUUUUACAACAGUUUGCAAGCUAUUAGACUUAAACCUCAAAAUUUAAAACAAGUACACUGUAAAUGUUGAUUAUGAUCAGUGCUGACACUUGGCCCACGUACUCACCAUCCUAGAUACUUAGACAAUUAUGUUUAAAGUUACUGUAUAUAGGACCAUGUUGUUCUAUGAGACAUGGACCUAAAACUUUGAAACAACUUGGACUCUUAGUGUUCAUGAAAAUCAGUGCUGACUCUUUGCCUAAAAACUUACAAAUGCAGACUGAUAAUUUUCAUGAAAAGCAGUGCCAACACUUGACAUUAUAUUUUAUGUUUGCCCAAACAACUUCCCUUUUCUGAUGCUAAGACAAUUUUGUACACAAUUACUGAUAGAUUGAAGAUCCAACUAGUCUGCAACAUGUGCUACCACAGUAAUUGUUCCGCUGGUUGUCAUGUGCAGGACCCCCAGUUUUGGACAUACAGACCACUAACUGAACUGAUGGUCCGAGCAGCUGCAGAUGAUGUCCGCUUUCUACCGUACAUCUAUCACAAUAUGAUGAAGAAACUAAACCAACAAUCCUUAUGGUACCUUGCAGUGCGUGGUGCACUAUAUUGUCGUUGUUUCUGCAUCAAUGAAAAUGAUUAUGUGGAUUGGCCACCUCUCCCGCCUGUUCCAGGUUUUUAUAUCUUGUCAAUUUCCAUACUGUUAUAGAUUAGUGUAACAACAACACCCCACCCCCCGGCGCAUUUGCAUAUUCCCCGGAGUGUAACAAAUUUGUCAAUAGACUUUGUCCAAUCACCAUUUUGCACGAGGGAAUGUUUCCUUGCAAUUACUCAUGUUGAACAUGCGACAUGGGAAGAACAGUCAAAAUAGGGGAGGAAGCCUGGUGUUUGGGUUUCUGAAACUUGUCUACCUUGAUUCCAUUUGAAUUAUAAAUACACGAGGCAAAUUCCAAUUACAUAUCACGCCCACUUAUGCAUGAGUUGAGUUUCAAUAUAGAAUUCUCUGCUCAUAAGCUUCUUAUUAAUAAUGCACUUAAUCAAUCAAUCAUCCAGCAUCCUAUUAACAAACUUACCAAAGAAGAUAAAGUGUUGCUAUGGUGUUGUAAAGUAUCUGCUUAUAGUUUGGUCUAGCCAAUGUGUUUCUUAUGAUUUAUAUCUACUGUUCUGCUGUCUUUCAUGAUCAAUAGGACUUUGGGCUUUCAGUUUAAUAUAAGAGCAUGUUAAAGUCAUUAUCUAAAUUCUGAAUAAGAUGAGUGAUUCUUGAUGGUUGAAAUGUUGCAUAUAUUUAGCGAGAAACAUAGUGCAUUAGUUGUGCAACCCCUUGGUUAGAAAAAUCUGUAUAUAAGCAGCUUAUGAUUUUUAAUAUUCAUUCACUACAGAAUGUUAUUUUGGAUGGUAUCUAGAUUGAUAGUCAUUCAAAACUUGUGAUGUGUUGUUUUAAUAACAUUAUAUGUAAAGUUUCGGCAACUUUUUGUUUUCUUUUUUCCAUAAGCUUGGUAAACCUGCUGUUAGGAUUUCAAUGUGUUGAUCUAGGUGUGCGGUUCAUCUAUGUAGAUUACUUGAUAGUGGAGGGAGAUGUUCCUGAAGAAGAAAUUCUAUCAAUUCUUGAUGUACCCCCCGGAAAGAUGGGACGUAUAAUAGGAAGAAGAGGGUCUUCUAUUUUGGCUAUAAAGGAAUCUUGCAAGUAUAUAUACCUCUUUCUUCUCUCUGUGUAAUGCAUAUCACAAUUUCAUGUUUGAAAAUGCUAAAUUGAUUAUCUUGGUCGCAAUUUUGCAGUGCCGAAAUUCUCAUUGGAGGUGCCAAGGGUCCACCUGACAAGGUUAGUCUACAAAAACUCAAAAUCUAUUGAAUAAUUAUAUUUUCACCCACACAAAAACAUUAAUCUCCUCGCGCAAACUCAAAGAGUUUCUGUUGAUUUAGGAUGAAAGCCUACAUGUACACUGUGAUGUGGGAGUAUGACUGAAUUUUUCAAUCGCAAUGCUAAAUGAAGGACCACACUAGUGCGUUUGUGACAGGAUCCUCCAUUUUUAUCUUUCUAAAAAUGAGAAUAAAUAAAUGACUAAGCAUUAGUAUUCUCACUCCUCUGGCCGCAGCAUGCAAUCAAAACGCAUAUGGUUGUGAAGUUGAUUUAUAUGGUUUGAGAAAUUUCGGAAGCAUUGUGGACAUGUCCUAAGCCUGCUUAGCAUUGAUUAAAGGGCUCUAUAAUUUCAACACUGCUCACCUCUUUUAAUCUUUUAUAAGUUAUAUUACUUAUAUUACUUUAUUACCUUCUCUGAGUUCACUUCUUUGUUGUCAAUUUGCUCCCCCAUUAUUUUGUUAAUUCAUGCUCAGACUUUAUAUAGUGCCUCAAAUUUUUCCGUGAAUCUCAACAGCAAAAUAUUACAGGAACUUUUGAAAUGCUGUAUCAGGUUGUUCAGCGGAACCUCUUCAAUUAUUUGUCGUUAAUUUUGCUUUACAGUUUAUUUUGUUAUUCUCAGCCAUCCUUUAUCAAAGUAUAACAAAAACUUUUAAGGUGAUGGAUUUAGGUUCAUGCAUGUAUAGGAAAAAGGACUCUUCAAAAUAAGGUGUAGAAAUCUGUCUUUCAAGAGCCUGAUAAGUAGUGGGUUCAUGCAGGUAUUCAUCAUAGGACCGGUGAAGCAGGUGAGGAAAGCAGAAGCCAUGUUGAGGGGAAGAAUGCUGGAGAUGUAUUAAGGAACAUAUGUCAUUAUGCUUGUUUGCAACUCUACAAUAAUAAUCACAAGUUCCAGUGGAUUAAGUUUUCUUCUUAAUGUUGUGGCCCUUCCUCAUUAUAUGGUACAGAGUAAUGAUCAUUCACCCUGUAGUAUAGUCUUUAAGACCAUAUAUUUAAUUCCUGUGGUGCUGUGGUUGAACGUGAAAGUUCCGUAGCGAAGCACCAAAACCUGUUUAUUGAGUGAAACAAUAUGUCUAGGUAAACGAUAAAUGAAAUCAAAGUUAAAUAACUACAGGACCAAUAAAAAUGGUUGUAGAAUCAUCAAAUUAAACCUGUUUAUUGAGCAGAUUAAUUUGAAUUCCUAUCCUCCGGUGGUCUGGACCUACGACGGUAGACUACCAUUGUGACAAAAAAUCUUUCACGGUCGGAGGAAAUUUUAAUUUUUGUUGUAUAAAUUUUCUGUUUUGGGACAUGUGACAAACGAAGAAGCUUUAAAAAAAAUCAUAAUCUUUGCAAAUUAAGAUCAUAUUUAAAAUUGAGGUGUAACUUUUGACGUCAAAAACACAAAAAUUGAUACUGUAAUUAUAAAAUAAAAAUUAAUAGUAUGUGGUCAAUGUAAUUUUUAAAUAAUAAUUUUAAUAAAAUUAUUUAAAAUAUAAUAAAUUUUUGGUCAUACAAAUAAAAAAUUAUAUUAACAUAAUUUUUAAAAUACAACAAACUAAACACUUUAGUUCCAAUAUCAACCCCAAACAGGUCUUAACUCUAUUGUCCGAUGCCAAUGCAACUGAAAACGAGUAUACUUAUAGCCUGACAACACCUAUGAACGUUGCAACGUCCCCUAUCGGAAAUGUUCUAGAGCAGCAGAGUUUCAAAUUGCCAAUUUACUUCAUUCAAAAACAUGAAGCAGAUGAAAAUUCCUCCCAAUAAAUAACCAAGCAAGGAGCCACCACAACUCUGCACGACUUAAAAUAUUUGCAACUUCGCAUCCGAUUCGGUUUAACUUACAACAAAAAGUCCUGUAAACUCUCUGUUCAUGAUUACACAAUAAUCAAGUCACUGUAUUGUUUAAUAUGUAUUUAUGGACAAGAAAGACUCAGGCUUGCAAUAUGCUCAACGCUUCGAAUAUCUUAACCGAAUAGGCAAAGAAUAGAGAAUACAGUAGUGAAAUGAACAUGAACAUGGGAAAAAAUUACUUUUUAAAACUACCAAAUUGAUAUUGUUGGCUGCCAAAAUUUGAGAAUGGGUCAUCUCCUACCGACUGUGGAGAUGUGAACCCAGAUUUACUGAAACCAGUUCCAGUGCCCAUCGCUCUCCCCAUGUAAAAUGAUGUUGGUGGACCCUUUUCCCUUUCAUCUGAACCAUCACUUAAUCCACCCACAACCCCUACAUCUGCCAGUGAUACCUUCUUGGCUGCAAAGUGCACAAAGUACCGUAUGAGAGAAACCUAAGGUAAUUAAUUCACAAUAACAGAAGCGGGGAAGACAUGUCAAAAAACUGUUAUAUGAUGCAAAUACAGACGUCAGUAAUAGAUCUGAAACAGUAAACAUGUGACUGUACUAUGCUAGGAAAUUACAGUACUUAGGAAGAUAAUACUUACAAGCAGAUAUAUUAAGAUCAAUGAUCCCACGACUUAAUGAAUCUGCCCAAAUUCCAGACUUCACCUGGAAAGCAUCCUUUUUGGUUGGAGGAUUUGAGACAGCUGAACACGUUCCAACCAAGUUAUUGAGGCUAGAAUCACUGGCAGCAUUUUGUGUGGUUCCCGUAGAUACUGAAUUUGAGUCGGAAGUGAAUGCUCCAAAGAAAUCAGAUCCAUCAUAAUUGUUCAGUGGAACCGUCGCAAAUGGAUCAACAAUAUUAGUAGUUGUUGGCUCAGAUUUUGGAGCCUUAGGUUCUGGAUGCACAGCUGGUUCAGGGGCAGCAAAAAGGUCAACUGGUGCAGGAGCUGCAGAAAAAUCCACGGGUUGAGAAGAAAAUAGAUCAACUUCCGUCUGCAUAAAUGGACAGUAAAAAAUAUAAGAUUAGCACAUAAACAAAUUCAUUUUAGCCAAGGGAGAAUUAUUACACCCUGAUUCCUGCUUACUAUAAACCAAUGCCUCUAAAAUUCCAAAAGUAAACCAAAGUAUCUUUCAAUUUAAUUAAUCAAACAAUUUUAUACAUUCUUUAUGCUCUUAUUAUUGCCAGGUCCGUUAUAACUCAUCCAGGUAAUGUAGAGGAAAAAAAAUUAUUUCAGACUUCUGCAGGUAAUUCCCAAGUCAUCAAAUGCCUUCUCAACAACACACAAACACAAACAUGCAAACACAUAACAUAUGGCAUUUCUAGAAACAUAGAGGAAAAACAAUCUGACCUUAGUCUGAGAAUUUAGUCCCAUUCCUUGCUCAGGUUGUGCUGACACAAAAGUUGCAUCAGCAAAAAGAUCAACCUCUGAGGCAUUACCAUUCGUGGCAGAUGUUUGAGCAGGGGCUGGAGUUGGUGCAUCCAUGAGAUCACCAAUCAAACUAUCUCCAAAUGGAUCCACUUGCUUAGAGUUCCCAGCAGCAGACUCUGUCGAAUAGGCCAAUCCACAACAUAUAGUGAGACACACCUUGCUAUAUGAAUUAUUAGAAAAGGAACCGGCAGUAAUCAUUAGUAUCAACUCUGGUAAUACUUUCUGCAUUCAAUGAAGCAGAAAUUUGGUUUCCACCAAGUAUCUAAUCGUACAUAUUCACUAUAAUAAUAUGAAGUGCAUCUGGUAGAAAUUCUUUCUACAACUACCACAUAAACACUGUUUUGCAGAAAUGGCAUUGGGCACUACAAGGUUUCCACAGCAGCACCAAAUUUCCGGCACAGGAUGUAUACAAUCAUGUAUGUUAUCAAUGAAUCGAUGCCUUGCUAACAGUGAUCAAGCUCUGUGGACUUCAAAUAAUGUCAAAAACCCAUCAAUCAUCCCCAUAAAAAUCUCCUCCCUGGACCCCCUCCCACAACCCGAAAAAAAAAAAAAUACCACCCAAUGUUAUGCAUUCAAUCACUUCUUCAUGAUCAAGGAACAUUAUGUUGAAUGGUCAGAUGACACUUUUUUUUCCCCCAAUCUAUUCAUGUACAAUCUUUUUAUUUGUGGUAAUUGAUUGAAAAUAAAAGUUUAUGGAAGAUACAUACUCCACAAGGGUUCUUUAGACUCAAUUGAAGCAGACAACUGCACAACAUAACAUGUCACACAGAAUACUUACUAUUACUAGAAGUUCCUCGAGGAUCAAAAUCAUCAAAAUCGUCAUCAUACUUAUUUGAAGGAAUGCUUGAGCUUUGAGAAGGAAUUGAACUGUAUUUGUCAGAGUCAUUUGACUUCAUUGCUGAUUUUGAAGCAUUGGAUGACAUAUUGUCUUGAUCCUUGCUGCAAUUUAUCAUUAUCAAAUUAACAAUAUCAUACAUAAAACAAAAUGCAAACUUCAAAGAGGGAGCAUGUGUGAUUACGUAUCAGUGAGUGUGUGUAAGAGGGAAACUUAGACGGAGAGAGAAAAACACUGGUACGGCAUCCUCUUAACCAACUAUCACAAGUGACUAUAUAAAAUUCAAUAUUAAUGCUAUUGCAUGCCAAGCAAUAACACGAAUCUCUUCUCAUGGAGCCAAUAUAAAAAAAUAUAUAUAUGGAGAUAUCUCCAAGAAAACCUUUAAAAUCUUAGCACAUAUGCCAAUCUCAAUCCAUCUCACAGAAACAUAAAAGUUAGAACACAAUAAAGCCAAAAACUGCCAUACCGUGCAAACCCCUUCUUCAAGGUGUUCCCUUGAUUCUCACUUGCAGCCCCUCUGCGUGACUUUCCAAAGGUAUCAUUUCCAGUCUUUUCCUCUCCAUAUGGAUCCCUGUCUUUAUAACUUUCCCUGAAGUUGUCACCUGAACCUCCAUAUCGAUCACUACUUCGAUAGCCACCAGUACCAAAAGAGGCUGAACCAGACUUAUAUGUUAUUCCAGUAGAUGAAAGUCCGAAGUACCUAGUAAUUGCAGCAAGCACACAGUUAAGUUAGAGGGAAUAAUCCAACAGUCAAAUUCAUAGAAGCUGAAGUUAAACAUAUAUUUUCAGUUUCUGAGCUUAUAACUUACUUUUCGCGGUUGGCAGAAGCUUUAUUUCUUACUUCUUGUAUUUUAUCUUUAUUGUUCAAAAGGGCCACAAUAUUUUCUGCCUUCUUCCUCACAUUAAUUCCCAUAUCCUUCCCACUUGGCUCAACAUACUCAAAACUUGAUAGAGACUUACAAAUGACCACAUAAAAAGAACCAUAAUCAGACAACACAAAACUCUUUUCUGAGGCAGUUAGAAAAGUGCUGACACAUUCAGCAAAAACGCAUUAGAAUAGGCCUUACUGAUAUCUGGAAAGUAUGUUCUAUUAUGUCAUCAACUGCACGUUCUGAUCCAUGGGAUAUCAGAUACUCUAUAACAGCCAAUGCCUGAUAUAUAAGAAGGUACAGAUGUUGAGUGCUUUAAAAUACCCUAUUAACCAAUAAAUGAGGGCAGUAGCUAUAAAAGCUUUAUGUGUCAAAUGAUUUCCAACAUUGAUCGAGUGAGUAGUAAGUAAGGUGGUACCUUGUAAACAUAACGCCAGUCCUUGCCAGUCUCAGCCAAUCUUGUCCAUAGAACAUUCAUAACCAUCUGACAUUCAGAGCUAAAAGACAUUGCACCUAAUAAGUUCAAAGCAAGAUAACAUACUUUCAGCACAACAUUACUUGAAAGAAAUUGAGAGAAACUGACAAUUUCUUGGUAGCCUGUGCUAUCUCUGCCAAUGCAGUGCCAUGAGGACCCCAAGGUUCAUUGUCUGUCGCAUCCAAUACCUGCAUUAGUAAUGACAAAAUUCAUAUUUGAAAAAAAAAAUGCAAAGAAAAAGUAAUCUCAUAAUGGUAGGAGUGAUGCAUAUGCUCCAAAGCUUAAAGCUUUCAACUUGAAGCCCAAUCUGAACCUAGAAAGCGAUGAUAUGAUUAGCACAAAUUAACACAUGCAUAUCAUCACCCCAAAAUUUCAAAUCGGCCCAUCUGAUUAUCAAAAAAAAAAUUAAAAAUUACAUAACCAUACGAAGCAACAGGAACAUGAGUUUAGAUAUUAAUAGGUGAGUGUAGAAUAGAAACAAUGAAUGUAAAGUGCAAAACUUGAAAUCGCUUGCUAUUACAGACAUAAACACAAACUAAAUAUCAUUUAGGUAAACCGCCUUUAAGAGUUUCACCACAAACCAUUUCUAAUUGCACCAACUUACAAUCCUAAACUAAACGAUGAAAGCUGGAGCCAAAAACUAAAGAUCAGCAAGGAAAUUCCAAUAUUAACAUUGUUUCAGUGAAAUCAAUUGAUCAAAGUGAAAAUAUGUGAAUCAUAGUAGCAAAGUCAGUCAGCAUAAAUCAUAUCUUACCAAAUUGCAACCUAUCUUUAAUUUUUUAUUACAGUAUAAAUCUUGAAUUUCCAACAAAUCAAAUACAAUAAAAUUCAUUAAAUCUCAUAGUUAAAAAAAAAAAAUCCACAUUAAACAUCAGCAAAUCGUCAAAGUAUAUAUAACAAAAUGAAUGUCUUACCUUCUGUUCAAUCUCCGGAACCUUCAAAACCUUCAAAUUCACCUCCCUCUUUCUGCAAAAAUCAAAAUAAAUAAAUAAAUGGUUCAUUCUGAGCGGUUACUAACCGAAUUGUAAAAUUUUUUAAAAAAAAAAAAGAACAUAAGCUCACAUUUCACGAACCGUCUGAUCGAAUACCUUCAUGAAAUCCAUGAUGGAUCUGUAUCAAAAGAUGAUGUUAUAUGUAAAAUCGAAAUAGUCAAAUUACCGUUUAGAUAGAUCUAAGCAAAUUGCAGGUAAGUGAAAUGUGGGAUCGAAUAAAUGAUAAAUCAAAUAAUUAACUAAUGAAGUGAAUACAAUGAACCGUUAAAUGUUCAGAUCUCGGAGAUUCUUGCAGAGAUUAUUAGAUGAUAAUGAAUCAGGUGUCGAUCUGUGGAUUCAUUACGGGAGCGCGAUAGAAAUAUAGACAGUCAUAAUACUACGCAAGUAAAAGAACGACGACGUUCAGCAACAAUGUCGUUUUCCUUUUUUGGCCUUUUUUCACUUGUACUGUUCUACAUAGGAUAGGUGGGGCCUAAUUUAUUUUUUAUUAAUUAAAUUUAGAGAUGGCAAGAUUUUAUUUUAAUGUCCUAAUUUGAUUGCGGGAUUAAAAUAAAAAAUUCCAUUUGCGGAUAAAAAAUAAAAAUUUUACUAUAUUAUUUUAGUUAUUUUAUUAUUUUAUGUUGACUUAUUAUCAUUGUUCGAGUUUAGUUAACUAUCAAUUAGUAUUAUUUUUAAAUUUUAAUAAUUAACAUCCUUAAAGAGAAAAAAAAAAUACUUUUACUUGAAGAAUGGAAAUGAAAAUUUAAGGACAAAGAGGGAAAAAAAGGUCAAACUGUGAAAACUGUUAUUGAUUUACUAUAUAUACAGUACAAAUAAUAGAUCAUUCUAAGUCUUCAGGAAUUAAUCCUAGUGAUUUUUAAAUAUUUUUAUUUAAUUCGCUAUGUAAAUUCAAAUUCUCAAAAUGAUGAGAUUGAAAAUUUUAAUUUGAAUCUUAUCACUAUAUUUUUGAAAAAAAAAUAAUAAUAAUAACGAUAAUGGUCGUCCGCUCGAUACCAUAGCCACUUCCUCCUCCGGUGGGCGGUGGUUCUCAUUUUGCCAUCUCAUUUUUAAAACACUGGAUCACACACAAACUCAUGGGUUGGGCUUUUUAAAUUUCACACCGUUGGGCUCAUAGAUCUCAGAUUAGAAUAUGGACUAUCGUGAGGGUGCACUUAUUGUAACUAGAAAAAGAUUUGGGCCAUUCAACAAAUGAAAGUAUUAAGGCCCGAAAUUCUAAAAUACUUCGGCCUUUCAAUUUUAAUAUUUUUCAAUUGUAUAAGUGGCUUUGCCUAAUCUAACGUGUAUUUCAAUGUCGUAUUGAUGAUCGUCAUAUGUGCGCACAUAAUUUAUUCUCCAACAAUUACUUUUGGAUUUUAUAUUAUAUUAAACCAAUACAUAAACGACACAUCAGUUUAUAGAUAAUUGUUUAUAUAAAUGAACAGUUAGUGUCUCUAACGUCACCUCUUAAUCUUAGCUAAUACAAAAUUAGAUUUGAAAUUACCCGUGAUGAGAAUGCUUGAACUUCAAGCUAGUGAUAAGAAUACUUUUAAUUUAUCGAUACAUCACUAAGGAUGCGUUUAUAUUUUAUACAAGCUCAACAUUGGCAGAUUGUAAUGUUUGCUAAUUUUUUUUUUUUGGGGGGGAUAUUUCUCCAUAAGUUAUUAUUAUUAUUAUUAUUUAAUAUAUAAUUAAAUGUGUUGAAAAGUUGGAAGAAGAGAAGCAUACCCUUCAUAGUUGAAAAAGUGGUUAUAUUAUAUUAGUAUUACAAUCGGUCACUGUAAAAUUCUGAAUUAAUUAACAUAUUUAUUUGACAUCUUGUGCACGAUUGAUAAAGAGUUCAUAGCGUUAAUUAGUCUCCUAAUUGACUUUGAGAAACACGCUGCAUGAUGUAUGUAAACUUUUCAAAAACACCCAACAAUUUGUUAUUAUAAUAUACAAAUUAUGAAAGUUCAAUGUCGAAAAUGACAAUUGAACUUUGAUUAUGUCCAACCAACAACCAUAAUUUAUCACAAGAACUUAUUCAUAAAAAUUGGUAAGAUUCUCUCAAUAGAAGCAACUCUGAGGCAGGGACCAACACGCGUAUUAAUUUAAUAUAGUUCUAUAAUUUAAUUUAUAUAUCAUUAUUGCUUUGAUGGAAACAUUAGUAUUAAACAUUUAUUUAAUUUUAUCUUCAAUAGUUAGAUAAAUAAAUUAAUUGGCAUGAUGAUUUUGAAAAAGAUUAUCAAAGUUUGACUUGGAAUGAGCUUUGUUUUGUAGAAAAAAAUAAUUGAAAGCGACUGGCCAUUUCAAAAUAUUUAAGUACCGUUGAACACACAUAAAUUUGAGUAAUUAAAUCCUAUGAAUAGUACAGAUUGUAUAAAACAUGUUCCAUUUCCAUUUUUUUUUUUUGUAUAAUUAUAUUACUCUUCUUUAAAAAUUAGAAUAGAAUACGUUAUGUGAUUUUGUCUAGCUGCCUUCUGCCACACUGAAGCAGCCAAAGCCUUUUAUGUUGAUCGGUUGACCAACACCAAGAGUCUAGGAUAAUGAGAUGAUUGUUUUUCUUUUUUUUCUUUUUUUUCUGUUUUUAUUCACUUUUUAAUCACAUACUUAAGAAUUCAGUUAGAAUUAAAGAUAUUGUAACUUUUUAAUUCCCAUUUAUAAUAAAACAAAUUCAUUACCAUACAGUUCGAAUUACAUAUUAUACAUGUAAAAUAAAUUCAUAAAAUGGUUUUUUUUUCUUUUUUCUUUUUUAAUUUCCUUUUUUCUGUUUUUAUUAACUUUUUUAAUCACAUACUUAAGAAUUUAGUUGGAAUUAAACAUAUCUUAACUUUUUAAUUCACAUUUGUAGUAAAACAAAUUCAUUACCAUAGAGUUCGAUUUAUAUAUGGCGACGCUGGUCACUCCAGUCUUAAAGAGAGAUUUUUUCGCUGGUCACUCCAGUCUUAAAGAGAGACAGUCUUAAAGAGAGAUUUUUUUUUUUUUCGCUUGUAGCUGGGCGAUAUACAUGAUAUGAUUAAAAGUUAAAUGGAGUUAACCCAAAAGUACGUAGUUUAGAGAUAUAAAUUUUAAACGUUAGUAUCUUUGGAAUACCUUUUGAUAAUUGUGGUAAUUACUUGAAUAUGGGGGCAAAAUUCUAACAAGUUGAUGUUUUCAUGAACGAUGAAAUUUAGUCUUACUACUUAUUGAACACACAAACUUUAAAAUAAUAUAUUAAAUGUACAAUUUAAUUUUCCUUAAUCGAAGUUCCACCUACCGAAAGAUGUCCUACAUCAAACAUGAUGUAUUUGGUGCCCCUAUCAUGGUAUGCAAACAUAAAUUAACGUUACCUUGUGUAUGUGACAACAAGCUCGAUCAGCAUCUUGCCUGUGGAAACUAAAUGGGGCCUCCUAUCUCUAAUUAGAUGAUUAAUGGUUAAUACCCUACCAUUAAAGAGUAUUCCCUUGUGGCGUUAUUCCUUUUUUAUGACUAAAAAUAUAAACCCUCAACCUCUAGCUUAUGAAGAAAAUGGAAUGAAAAUAGGGUUUUAUCUCACAAUGUCGAUGAGGUUGUCUUGUCAAACAGAGAUAAGUGAAAUUAAGGGAAUAUUCACCUUCGAAUAAUGCCAGCAAGAGCAAGAUGAAAGAUGCAUCGUGACUCAAUUAAUUGUCAAAAAGUCCAAUGUGCGGACAUUAAAGGAAACAAAUGACUGGCCAGCUUCGGCGGUUCUACUUUAAUUCUAGCUAGUUUUUUCAAUAGAGCCAUCCUUCAAAUGAAGGAACCCAAACUAGCUCUAAAUUCUUGUAGAAAUUUCUGGUCGUCCAAUAUAAUAAUUAUAUAUGACAUCGACCAUGGUCAUAGGGCAAUAGCACAUAUAAAUGCCCGUUUUAGGCCGCCUGGAGCUAGUCUUUUGACUAUAAACAUGAACCUUUAUCGUAAGAGUUAAUGUUUAAUCUAAAAUUAUCUAGUAAUUAGUUCGUGAGUUUCUUUUAAUGUGCUUAUAAUAAUGGCCUUAUCUAUGGUGGAUUAUGAUGUGACCGAGGGACGGAAAUAGUUGUAUGUUAAUAAUUUUAUUGCAAAGUAGGAGUGGAUUAAGAGUCACGCCACCUUAAUUCUAAAUGAAAGUUGAAAUUGGAGUGAUUGAAUUUAAAUAGGCAUGAUUGAUGGCAAAAUCUGCAUGUUGUCUUUGAUUACCUCAACCUGCAUUAUCUAUGAUCAAUCUAAUAUGAGUAAUGAUAGACAUUUUAAAAUUUUAUCUCAAAUUUUAUUUAAAUAGUAUUAUAUAUAAUGUGUUAUUUAUUAAAUAGGGGUAGUUGAUAAUUUUUUAUAAGUUGUAAGAGAAUUAGUUACAUUAACUCACCGAUCAGUGAACAAAUGAGAUAUCAAUUGAGAUAAAAUUUUGGGAAAUCCACCACUCCGCUCCUCUUCUAAUAUUGCCCAGUGAUUUGUCAAAGUAAUGUAUAUAACUCGACAAAGGAAGAGUUUUUACAUUCGACAUAUGACUGCGGUCCGCUAUUGUGUUGCUUAAAAGAGACACCAACUUUAAGUUUUCCACAUUAUAUCAAGCAAUUAGUAGACAAUGUAGGGACAAUUCAUUUGAGACUUGUAUGGAUUAAAAAAUGAUUUAUUAAUAGCAACUUGUGGGACUUUUCAAUUUUCAGCAUCAGAGGCGACAGUUGUAACCUCCUAUUCAUCUCUUUAGGUCAUAAAAAACAUAAUGAGAUGUCAAUUCAAGAUGUUAAAAAGUAGUAGGCGUCGGCAAAAGCAAUCUUUUGAGAGAGAGAGAGAGAGCCAGUCUUUUAUGGUUAAUAUAUGAAAGGAUUGAAGGGGACGUUAUGAUUUGAAAAGGGGAUUACAUGAGUCUCAUGUAACUUUCAUGGUCUCUGACAAAACACGGAGCAGAAGCAGACAUGCUGAUGCCAUCUCUGUUUCACAUUCAUCUCUAUCUCCUUUGGAAAAGUAAACCAAAUUCCCAUUCACAAAUUAACCCUACAAUGAUAAUGACUUGGAUUUGAUUUACAUUAUAUGUUCCUCGCUGGCUACAGACACUAGGUAACGUAGAAUAUAACAAAUUAAGACCAGGUCCAAUGUCAGGUAACAAUGUCUAAAAAUCAACCAAUCUAAUUUAGUCUUAUGUUUCAGUAACUUGAAUGUGAUGAUAACUGAUGAUGUGUUAAUAUUGGUUAAUCACACUUUGAUUCAGUCCUUGUGGCUUAAUGUCAGCGUAAGAAGAAUCAGCAGCUAAUAAACUUGGAUACCAAUUACUCAGAUCAUCAUGAUGACUAGUAGCUUUCUCUUGAUGAUUAUACCAAAGAGUGCCAUUGUUGUUGACAUAAUAUUGAUCACAAGGGUCUCCGAUUCCGAAGCCGAAAUCCAUUAGAAUCUGAUCGGCAUCUUCAACACCACCGUUAACGUUGUUUCCAGCAGGCAGUGUAACACUUGAGCCCUCUUGAGAAGAUGUGAGAACAGGACUGUUCUUCAAGCUUGUACCCAAUUGAUGAGAAACAGUAGAACUAGUAAAACUCAUUCCAGCAGAGUGAGGGGGAAUAAAGUGAUGAUUAUUUACAGUACUUAAUCCAUAAGCAAUAUGAUCAUGAUGAUCAGUUAGCAACGGCAUCGAUGGCGAAGAAGAGAGUUGAGUAGGUGAAGCUGGAUAUUGGGGAUCACAGGCUUCAGAUUUUGGCAGUGAUAUUGAAGGAUUUGAGUCAUGAAGAUGAUUAGUAUCAGUUGGAUUGCUGCCGCUAAUAAUUGGGGAAUUGUUAGCAUUGUUGCUUGUGAGCAGGCUUACUUUCCCAGCAAGUAACUUCUUCUUCAACUUGGUGUUCCAAUAAUUCUUCACAUCGUUGUCAGUUCUUCCAGGUAAACGAGAAGCUAUUAUGGACCAUCUGAUAACAAAAACGACAAGUGGGAAAUUAAAUUAUUAUAAGCCCAAAAUCAAACAAUAUAAAUAUAAAGAUAAGGGGCAGUUUAUUAACUCUAUAUACGAUCAGUAGCAAAAUUAAUUACCUGCUUCCUAUUUGACUAUAGAGGGUACAUAUCACAUGAUCUUCAUCUUCAGUGAAAUUCCCAUGUUUGAUGUCUGGCCUCAGGUAAUUUAGCCACCUUAAACGACAACUCUUGCCACAUCUCUUGAGGCCUGAAAAUUUAACAGCCAAAGAGAUUCAAAUGAACCAAAUACAUAAGUUACAGCAUUGAAAAUAACGUAACAUAAGACAAAGAAAUUGUUGCUUAUAAGAUGUAUAGAUGUGAUGUGCUUAAAGCCGACCCAUUUAUACAGUAUUAAUUAUUGAUUAGUGAUCAAUAAUAUGAUUUCACAUGAGGGUUUCAAUCGUAUAGCCGUAUAGGUUCUUUUAUGAUGGUCCCCAAGGCCAGAAGAAAAUGUUAUCUCUAACAAGAAGACAAACAAAUCCCUCUGGCAAGUCUACUUUUUUCUUGUACUGUUUCUAACGUGUGUACUAAAUACAAAACUGAAAAGCAAAGACGAAAACAAACCCUUCAGAGAAUAGAUGAAAUGGGCUGAAGUGAAGGAAUCUGUCAAAUUGUUUAAAGGAAAAAUAAUAGGAUAAUAAUAAUAAAUUUAGAGGAAAUUUUUUUAAAAAUUUAAAAAAAAAGAAAAAGAAAGAAAACACUCUCCUUUGGUUACAUUACAUUUCAUGAUCAGAUGGAUAAUUUUGCUUGAACUAAACUAACAAAGAUAAAGAAACUUGAAAUGGAUAUUGAGUAAACUUGAUUAUAACUUGUAAGAAAAGAAAUUUUUUUUUUUUUUUUGGUGGUGAUAUUGGGUACUGUGUGAGAGAAAGAGAGGAAAAUUAGAAUAUACCAGCUUUUUGAGGCAAAGCAAUCCAGUUACCGCCAGUGCCAUGGGUCUCGACAUAACGCUUAAGAGUGGCAUCUUCUUCGGGAGACCAGGGUCCUCUCUUCACGUUGGCUUUGUCACAACAUGGAGCUCUCCCCAUGGCUGCUAUUGCUGCUCAGUGCACACUGACCAGAACCCACACAGCAAAAGAGAUCAACUUUAAGAAGGUAAAAUGAGACACGCAAGAAGAGCCAAGAUGCCAGCUUCUUUAAUCAAGAAAAGCAAACAAUGGGCUAGUUUCUGGUUAAGGGUUUAUAUAAAUAUAUAAAGUCGAUGGCGCCUUUGAGGGCUUCAUUUUGCAAGACUCUCUUUCUAACUAUUACAUGAAUACAUCGCCCUUUUUCAAGUACCUUUUACUUCUUUAUUUUCGGAACUUUGUGGAAAUGUCAGAGUUAUUUAGUCAUUUUUAAAUUUAUAAAAAUGACCGGACUUAAACUACAUUCUUACUUUUACAUAUUAAAAGUAAAAAGACCAGGAUACGGUGCAAUUAUGGUACCGUGUUAUAAUUAUAUUCAGUUGUUGGAUGUAUUUAAAUUGGUGGAGUCUAUUAACAUUCAACGGCUGGAUGCAACUGUGCCACGGUACCAUAAUUAUACCACAUGUUUCUCCUUAAAACAAAUCAUUUUAGACAAUAAUACCUCUAAAUAUAAUGAUAAACUACUUAUAUUUGUUAACUAUCAUUGAUAAUCAGUUUAUCACAAUCGUCACUAACAGUGAAUAUUCUAUUUAUUACCAAAUAAUAUAUACAAUUUCUCUUAUAUCAUAAUUGAUGAGUGCAGUCCGUUGUGUCUAUUAACACCAUCUCUAGUAGGAUUAUUAUUUUUUUCGAAGAAGUUAGGGUUAUACUUUAUUGUUCAAAAAAGCUUAUGUUGAGUUAUUUUUAUAAAUUAACCAUAAUGUUGGACCAUUUCAUAAAUUUCUCUUUUUAAAUUUUAUUUUUUAUUUUUAUAUUUGGCUUGUUCCUUGGCUGUUAAGAUAUUAUGACCCGGUCAAAAAUUGCGCCACGUGACAUUGAUUUCAUUUUUUUUUAAUUAUUCUGAAAUUUCACUGAUCAAACCGGUGAUUCUCAGGGAAGUUUGCUUCCCCCGUGAGCAAACGGUUCAAAAAGCUAGAACAGAGACCAAGUGCUGGUUCACUUCUUUAUUCAUAUAAAUUAUAUAAAUAAAUAAAUAAAUUUGCUUUAAAGACAAAAAAAAAAAAGGAAAAAAAGGCCAUGGUGUGAAAAUGGUAUCAAUUAUCAGCAAUUAAGCAGCCGUUGGCGGUGCUAAUUAAUUAAUAAUUAUUUGUUCCCGUUUUAGUAAACAAUAUCGUAUGCUUCUCUUCUAAUUAGUUGUUAAUAUUAAAUGAUUAAGGUCAUUAUUAGAAAACAUCUGACUUUUACUUAAUGCAGGCUUAUUUAUAUACAGAACAGAAGAUUAAUUGAUGUCAGUGGAGUUCACACUAUCAGUUGCCAAAUCAACGUCAAUGCAAACGUCAGGCAAAAUUACUUAGAAAUUUUGCUUUGCCAUACGCUAGCUAUUUGAUGCAAACUUUGUCGAAUACUAUCAUGCGUGCUACAAAAUUGAGUCUUGUAUUUCAAAUUUUGUAUCUUACUUUUUCAACCACUAACCACAAUCAGUAAAUUUACAAAGAAUACGUAUAUAUUUGCAAAUUCUCUUAAAAUUUGCGAAACAAUUCCUGAUAUUUCUGAGAUAUUAAUUAAUGAGACUGUGAUUAACAGUGGGUCAAGCCCACAUGGGAGAAAGCUUUCACCUUUGGGAUUUAAAAAUAUAUUUUUCUGUUGAAAGUGAAAGAGCUGGGGCUAGAAUGAGUUGAUUGCAUGCAUUGCAUCAUGCAUGGACCAAGUUAAUAGUAGAACGGUCAAAAAAAAUAAAAUGGAAAACAGCUGCGACUCGUUUGCAGAAGCUGCAAGUAACAGCUUCGAACUUUCCCAUUUCCAUCACCUUGCAUUGGGACCUCUUUCUCUCUCCUCUAGCACCCGUGGAAGUUCCCCAUUGGCUGCUGUUACUCACAGAAGCUGUAACAUAGACUUCUCCCUCGUUCAAAAUGAUUUUUACACCAUUUGCGUUUGGGUCAUCUGUUUAAUAAGCGCAGGGGGGGACUGUCGUUGGUUGCUUUUUGACCCUAAAUGUUGCUGUCGCUUGGACCCAUUGGCCAUUGCAGGGUCCAGUUGACUCUCAGACUAAAACUGAAUUGGGCAUUAUGCAUGUUGCAUGCUUGUUUGUCAGUGGCAAAAUGACGCCUUUUUGGUAAGCGCAGCAAGGAAUCAAAAUGGACACAAACUUUCAGUCUUGCACCAUUCCCUCCUCUGUGAUAUUUAUGCAUGUUAAUUUGUAGACGCCAUUUGGGAAAAGUUUAUGUGAACGGAAAAAAUAUGUUUGUAAUUAACUGCAGUUAGUUAAUUACACCAGAUAUCUCAGCUCUUUCAAAAUAGAAAACUAAAGCUACUAAUAAUUUCAAAAUUAUAGCUUCAAUGGCAAAUCUUUAAUGCAUUUUUCUCUCUCCAGAGUGUUGUGGCAUGGGCUUCUUUGUUUUCGUAAUUACUAUUAAUCAAUCGAAAUAAGAUCUAUUUUAGUUAUUUCCUCAAAACUGAUAAUCAUCCAUUAGGUUUAGACAUAUGUAGAAUUUAAGUUCGUAAAAUUUCACUCAAAGUCAAUUUUUACGAACCACCACCAAACCCAUUGGGUGGGCCGUCACGGCUAUUCCUUUGAAGUUUGGUCAUCGAAGAAACGAGUUCCAGUUCCACGUGGGUGCUCGUCUUUCUUUGUAAAUACUAAUCAACGGUCGUUGUAUUCUGCGCGGAUUAGGCCUUUACUGGCGGCGCUCAAUCGAUCCACAUACAAUGCAAUAAUUGUACGGAGUUAAUGUAUGUUUGGGAUUUGUGGUGGAAUUUUUUUUAGAUUGGCAUUCAUGAUUUAAGUUGUUGUUUUCAACCCAAUACACUAGCAUUCAUUAAAUAAGUAUUAUCAAACAUAAUUUUGAAGGUUAUUUCAAAACAAAUAAUAAUAGUAAUAGUUAGAAGGUAAAGUGUCAAACAUUUAUUAGACAAUCCACCACAAUUCUAAAUAUGCAAUUGAGCUUCUAGUUGAGCCAUGAUUCAUUGAUUCUAGUGUCAAUGAGUUAUAACAUAUUAAGGUUCUGUUUGGUAUGAAAUAUAUUUUUCAUUAUAUAAAUGAUAGAUCAAUUCAAUUUAAUUUCUAAACGACAACAUUUAGUAUUUACUAAAUAUUUUUAAUGCAGUAGCUUAAAACUACAACUAUCUAAUCUCAAUACUAAACAGGACUUAAGAAAGCAAAUUUUUAUUUUGACAUGACGAGCCAAUUAACUUAGCUUAAUUCAUUAUAAAUUAGUAACUAGUAACAAUAAUUUUUGUUAGGAAGUUCGAAGAAAAUUUGAAGCCCGAUAGUAAAACCAUGUGUCCAAUUUUACCCCAGUAAUCAUCUGUUUCCUAGGUCAUAAGCAUACCCAACGCAAGCCCAAUUAUUUUCCUAGUGGAUUUGCUUAUGUAGCCGAAAACCGAAAUUCAAUGUUCUAAAUACACCCUAAUCUUUUCCAAGUACACAAUUACCAUUAUUGAUAUGUUAGUUGGAUUGAUUGUACCAACAUUCCAUGAAAACCAGACGAAGUUAAGGAGUGUUCAGCGCUGGGCUAACACUUCGACACAAUUUUAACCAUCCGUAAAUAGCACUUGAAACUCUAAAUUUAUAAGAUAAUAUUACAUUAUUACUCAUCAUACACAACGCAAGUAACAUCAUCCACUAUAACAUUAUACUAUAAAAUCAUAUACAUUAGUCUAAACAUUUGAUAAUUGGAUCCUACUGUUAAUUCACGUAAUUAUGAAUUGUUUGUUGAUUCUUCAAAAUGAAUACAUACAUAUUAUAACUUUUUUAUUUAUUAUAUAACCGACAUAAUAUUUUAUAAAUAUUUUAAAAUUUCUCACCACCGUGAAAAGUUGUGUUUACGUAUAUGGUAUCAUUUUUUUUGUUUUCAACUUUGUUUUGGCAAUCGAGCUGCAAGUUGCUAGUGAAAAAUAUGGAAUCCUAGGCAAGUGGUGGUACGCAGUAAUUCAGUUUCAAUCCACCACCCCAAUUUACGAAAUUAUGGAGACAAUUAGGGCCUGUUUGGUACCGUUUUCAAGCCUCUAUUUUCGUUUUUGUUUUAUAAAUACAAUUGAAAAACAUGUUUGGUGGGCUAAACUCAGAAACAAAUUAUAAAACAAAAAAUUCGGUUUCAGCUUUCCAGUUGUAAAGUUGAAAACGUGUUUAAUGCGUUUUCAAAUGAAUUUAUAGUUCACACUCAAGAACAAACUACAGGACAAAUCUCGGCUCGUGUUCUCUUCAUCAACAGCUCCCAAAGUCCCCGAUCUAAACUCCCCGCACUCACUAUCACUCUCUUCUUCCUCUUUCUCUAGAUCUACAACACAUAUCGCUCUCUCUAACUCGAUAUGCCAGUCCGUUGCUGCUGCUGCUCGAUCUCGGCUGUUGCAGCUGCUCUCUUCACUUGGUAUUUGCUCCAGCUACUUCCAGUUCAUUGUUGCUGCUGCUGCUCUUCCAGUUCGUUGCUGCUGCUGCUCUUUAGAGUUUGUACAUUCACCAUUAAUCUGAUGCUCUUCAUGAUUACAGAAUGUUCAAACUUUCGAAGAAGAUUCAGGUCAACCUUCAAUUCAGAAUCCGGAAUAAGGCCAUUUCUCUAUGACAGUUUAUGAGUUUAUCAUUGAAGAAUCUUCACUUUCUGUGUUGCUCUUCUGGAAGUGUCAUUACAUUUCCUUCAUGUAAAUGUUUGAGAUUCAAUGGUCGAAAGGCCAUUAAUUAGCAUUAAUAAUUUUCUGGUUGCAGCAGUACGUUAUAUCCUGUGGCAAUCAGCAUGUGUGUGCAAUUUGUAUUUUCUUGUGAUUGAAUUUCUGGAGUUCUAUUCUUUCAGAAUUGAUAAAUUCAAAGGGUAUGCUGGUUUAGUGGCCUUGGUGCUAUUGUUAGAAAUACCGGUGGGGACAUUAUGCUUGCAGCGGUAAAGACCUAUAAAUUUUUGGGAUAACGAAUUCUCAGAGGCAGAGGCUCUUAGAUUUGGAUUUUGGGACUUAAGUAAGCUCGAAACUGAUGCUAAGACUUUUGUGAACGGAAAUGAUCCAAGUCAGAAGGAAAAUCUUCAGAAGGAAUUGUUAGGAGUAAUCUUUAUCUUGCUUUCAAAUUAAUCCCGAGGAGCUAUAAUGAAACAACUCAUAGGCAUGAACUUUACAAAACAUUGUAAAGCAUCCUCCAUAUAUGGAAAUGGAAAGGAACCCAUCUUUAAUUCCAAUUGCAUGUUGCGCUUUGUAUAAUUUUAUUCGACGAGAAAAUGCAAGUGAUAGGUUAUUUGGGGACUUUGAUGUGCAAGAUUUGGUUACCAACAAUGAAGGAGACACUAUUAAUCAACGAUGAAGGUUAUUUGGGGACUUUGAUGUGCAAG
rnacentral:lncRNA from 1 species